rnacentral:lncRNA from 1 species
AGGAGACUGACACAACAGCAGACUGACUGUUUUUCAGCUCUGAUUAGACACUAGUGUUGAGAUGACUGUCUGUCAUGAUAGCAUGUACUGAGUCAGGGCCAGUACCAGAUAAGCACAUUAAACUAUAAUCCAUAAACGUAAGGUAACAACCCAGACCUAAUGGUGCUGUGACAGCAACGCGAUUGAGUUUGAGACAGUGAAAAUACAUAUGGUAUGUUGUAUCUGAACAGGUUAGCUUACGAGCUAAAGUUACUUAGCACAGAUGAAAGUUAAAACAAAGACGUUUAGCAAACUGUUAAAGCACACAAACCAUCGUCAUAUGAGAAAUCCAACGCUAUGACUCUCCACAAGUUGUCCUUCAGGUGGUUAUCUUUGUAAUGUUUGUGUUUUUUAUCAAAAAGCACUCUGUCCUCUGACAUGUAAACAAUCAGCUGGUCGGCCAUGUUGGAUAUACCAGUGAAUCAGACGUCGCAACAACACGCAAUCUGAUUGGUCAGAAGUGGACACACAGUCUGCGAAACUUGAGAAAAAUUGACCGUGAUGCGAAAAAAAAAAUACCGCAAUAUCGCAGGAUGGGAAAAUGUUGCUGAUGUGAACGCUUGUAUUGACAGGAUAUGGGUCCGAAAAAAAAUAUUGACGUCCGAAAUAAUCGCAGGAAAAAAAUGGUCCCUGUGUGAAAGGACCUUACAUCUGUAGAUUAGUUCAGUUCAUUUCAUGUUUCCCAGGCUCAAGCUGUAUUGCCCCCGGAAGCUCCAAUAACCAAUCAUAGCAACGCAGUAUGUGAAGUAACAUGGAGCGGCAGAAAAUCUAAACAGAUUGAGGUAUGCAUGUGAAGAUACAUCAAGUUUGUUGAAAUCGCUGUAAUGGCAGAUUCAACUGGCUUUCUUGCAGUAGAGGCGGCCAUCUUUUUUGUUUACAAAAAGGCUGAUGUGUCCUGUGCCAUCAUCUUUCAAAACCCCUCCACAUAUCCAUAUAUCUAUUUGUUUUCUUCUGCUUAUCCAACAUGAGGUUGUGGAGCCAGGCAUUCCUCACCCGAUUGGCUCUGACUUCCUCCAGAUCUCCACUUCUAGGCUUCUCUCUAAAACUGAUCUGAUCCCCUUUAGAGGUAAGUCAUUCGGGCCAUUUGUAAUUGUAAACUCAUUCUUUCAAUCAGACUGUAUAUAGAAGAACGCCGUUCGUCUCCUUGCUGGGUGAAGCCACCGCGAGAGCAGCACCCUCUGGUGACGGGCAGUAUAGGUCAUAAAUCCUGGCUUCUCCAGCAAUCCCUAUGGAGCUACAGACAAACUUUAGAAAUUUAUUACACAGAAUAUAAUUUUUUCUCCCCCCUGGUUGCGAUGUUGACAUGUAGUUGUUGUUGUUAGACUGGUUUGUGCUCAAGUCCUCUUUUUUCUGUGGUGUAUUUGUAAUUGACAGGAAAUCGAGGGCAGAAUUCACAGAAACUAGUGUCCAGGAAAGUGGCUGAGCACAGAGCAUUUUUACUUGGUAAUCUUCCACCUCUGCAACCAGACACAUUUUGAAUGUCUUUGUCCUGUCCUUAAAAUCCAGAUACUCUGAUGAAUUGUGGCUCUUUGGGUUGAAGUAGAAGUCUUUUUUCUUGAACAGACCAGCUCCAGGCCCUCCAGAUCUGGAUAAUAAACUUAAAUGUCAUCAUAAGAACACAACAUGAUUCUUCAAACUCCAAACACAAGAGGCUGGGAAUAAGAAAUGAAUUCUCCAUUGUGGCUGAUUUUCUCUGAACAGCGCAGAGAUUCAUGCUUUCUCAAACAAUAGAUACAAUAUCAAUCACAGCUGGGAAACGCUUUUGGGCAUUUUCGUUCAAACGUUUUUGGCUGGCUGUUGAGUCGGGUUGGUAGCGUGAGAAGAAUGAGUGUUAUUUCCUGAAACUGCCUUCGGUUAUUCCAUUUGUCAGGCUUUCAGGAGCGAGCUGGAGAUGCAUUUGAGCUGCGUUUGAUCCAGCAGCCAGCUGGUCUACGCCAACAAAGGACUGCUGAGGCUGAUCACCCUAAAACUGGUGUCAAACCAGACCCUCCAAACCAGACAGAUAUACUCCAUAAUGGGAAACGACACAACCAACUGUGGGAAACACUUAGAAAUGAGCUUGUUGACAGAUUAGCAUUUUUUCGCCUGUAGGUCCUAGUGAGUUUUUAUCUCUGAUAAAGGAAUAUGCUCCCAGCCGACUGUUCACCAGAGAUAGAAAAUAAAAGAGAAAACACUUUAAUAGGCCAUUUUUCUCUGCUUCCUGAUGUGUCCUUGUAAAGGGACUAUUAAGUUGUCUUCAGAGACAAAUUACAAUAGAGAUAAAGCGAGCGUGUUUGUUGAUCCGACUGAUCUCAGCCAGCUGUAAAGGAAGCCAGAAGGUUUCUGUGUAAUCGCCAAACAAGCAGCAGAUAACAUCACAACCUGACGUUCAGACCGAGCUGUUAUAAACGGCUUUCACUUCCACAUUAGCAGGAUGACUUUCAUUCAUCUCCUGCUCUCCCCCUGCCAUCCACUCAUGAUAUCUGUGAUUUUAAAUGUCAGCGAGGAAAAAGGCCAGCUGAAGGUGAGGACUGAGAUUUCUCAUCAGCAAUAAAAAAGAUAUGAGGACAAACUUUGGAAAAAAAGUUGCUGAGCUUGACAAAGAAGUGUAUUGCAUGGUGAAAGAAGAGGGUAUGCUUUUAGUCAAGUGUCAUAUUUGCCUUGUUUGAAAUAAUUAUGAUUUAUAGUGUUCUGGUGCAUGAUAUUGAGUCGAGUUAUUAGCAUCCUGCUGGGGCAUGGACCAAUUAGCAGCAUGACUCUCUGCACCUGUGGAGCUCUAUCCCUUUUAAUAGACAUUCCUAAGGACCAAAUGAAGAUGAUAAUGGUGCGGUCAGUGACAAAUUAGCGCCCAACAGCUGGGACACAAACCAGGAAGAAAGAGCGAGGAGCAGUGGGGGUGGACAAGAGAGCAACAACUAUGAAACAUGACAGCGCCUGUAUCUGAAGAGGGGGAAGCCCUGCAGAGCUGAGGGUGUCCAGAGUGAUGUAACAUGACCUAGCAAGGACAUUUUCUUUAGUGCAUUUUUUUUUUCCUUUGCAAUCUUGCAACUGUCUGGCUGCAUUUGAAGUUUAUCUUUUCUUUCGCUGCAAAGAAACUGCUCCAUACCUGUUUGAAAAAAGAGAAAAAAAACAUGAUUAAAUCAGUUUUAUCAUCAUCUCUUAAAAGAGCAUUUUUGACUCUUCAACAGACAGCUCUCCUCAAAAACUGACCUGAUUACAACAGUAGGGAAAUUGUUUUUUCUCGCCUAUAUCUAUCUGUUCAUUCGUGAUAGUGAUGAGAAGAACAGUUAUUUUGACUGUACCAUUCAUUAAAAGAAUUCGUUUAAAAGAUUCGUUCACUGAAUCAGUCAGCACGAUGGAGUCCCCCUCUGCCGGUGCAGUACACGAGUGAGUGACGCAGCUGCGAAUUCGUUCAUUGAAAAGGGAGACACGUGUCGUUCAUUUACCAAGUCGUAAAAGGAAGAAUCACUCCCCUGCCCUGAAAAAUUUGCCUCUCUGUGUAUCGCCGUCGGCGGAAACAACACAGCAGCAAGCAGCACGCUUGCUAAAUGAGCUUGAGUCGUCAUUCUGGUACUUUUAAGGUAUCAAAUAGCCUAUUCCUUUAAAUCGGCUGAAAUUAAAUCCUUCUUGCAGGAAAGUUUAUACACGUGUUUUAAUGUAAAGGCACUAUAAUGCAGUGUUUUUUAUCUUAGCCUCAGUGAAUAAACCAGUGUUCAGCAGUAAGUGAGUGACACUACACCCCUCCCUCCUCUGCCCGCAUCAAAUCAUUUGGAAAUCGUUUGUUUCAUUCACCAUGUCGUUCACUGACUGACUGAAUCAUUCUGUUCACUUACUGAUACAUGUUGUUCACAGACGUUUCAUUCACAUCGACUGAUAUCAUUCAUUCACUGUGAGCAAAUCAUGAGACUCCGCCCGCUCGCUGGCUGGCUGUGUGUCGUUCGGCUGAGCUCAACUGAACAAAAAAAGGAACGAAUCAGGUCCCGGAGUGAUUCAGUUCACAUUGUUCACUCAGCAGUUCUGUUCUUUUGAAUGAAACGUUCGUGAAUGACACAACACUAAUUCGUGACUUCUUUAUCCAAUGGCACUAGUGUUGUGUCAUUCGCGAAUGAAUCAUUUAAAAGAACCGAGUCUUUUGAGUGAAUUUACUGAACCGAAUCACUUCCUGAAGUGAUUCGUUCAUUUCUCUCUCCGGUUGAGCUGUCAGCCACGCAGCUGCCAUAGCACGCAGAAUUGCCGGGUGAGCAGCUGGCGAGCAAGGGACCAUGCACUCCAAUACCUGGAUCACUUGGUGAACGAAUCACGCAGUGGACUACACUUUCUUGAAUCGUUUUUGGCUGAGGGAUUCAACUUUGCUAAAUUGCCACCACAAGAACUUGCAUAUAGUAGGACACAGCAUAAAAAAAGUAGUGUACAUUACCCGCAGUUUGAGAAAUGCGUGACUGUCUGAUCCCAUUAUUGCUGCGAUUUGCAAGGGAACGAUGCAUAUGCUGGGUGAAUUCGUCAUUGGAUGUUCUGUGGGGUAAACGUUCAGUGAACGAAUCACUCACUGAGCCCAAUUUACCGAGUAGACCAGAUAAAUAGCAUAACCACUGGACAGAAAAUUCAUUUCCACAAACCUUUUUGUCAAAGCAACACAACCACAACCACAACCACAACACUUAUCUCACAGUCCCAGGACCCGUGAACUGAAGUGAAACCAUUCAGCUGUGUAUCACCUCAGGAAGUCAGAGUCUCAGACUCCUCCCGCCAAGUGCUGAGUGAUUCGGUGAACGAAUCUUUUAAACAAAUCUUUAUAGUGAACUGAUUCUAGUGAUUCAGUACAUCUAAAAGAACUGCCGUGCCCAUCACUAAAUGGCACAGUGGCAGACCCCCACUGUUAACUUGCUCUCUACAAAUGUUAGAAAGUGCACCAACUCUUUGAUACACCGCUUCAAGGUAGAUGACAUCUGUCUGUCACUUCUUAAAAAAGUUUCUGUUGCUAUCAAAAAUACACAUUAGAUGAGGACUUCUCUUGCAACCAAACGUUAUUGCAACCUCAGGCACCAGAAACUGGAGCUGCAUGAGCCAUUUCUAGAUUUGCAGUAUUUAUUUCCAGUUCUAGUUCAUUAUUAAAUAAAAAACUUAAUAUCCCCGGAUCUUGAACUGUUAUUUUAGAAAUUAAAUAUCUGAAAAGGGGAUUUAAUAAUCACAUGCUUUUUCUUGCACCUUUGGUUGAAAUUAGCGUGGCCAUUAAUAAGUCUAGAGGGGUGAGAGAAAAGGGGGAGAAUCUCAGCUAAAACAGAUCAGAGUUAAGUCCAUUAAAAGCUGCUGAAAAGCUCUGCACAUUUUCCAGACAUAAUGUUUCUGAGGAGCUUCAGGCUCUUUUCUUACGCAUAACCUGUUCUGAACACUGUGCAAAUGAACAGAAUAUAAGAACAGAAACUUCCAAACCUUUAACCUUUAACAAUGAAUUCAAAUAACCCUCAGAGGAAGUGAUUUUUUCAUUUCACACCUGCACCUCCAGACCCACGUCUGACCUCAUACAGCGGUCGUCUCAUACCUCCCUGAGUGGAGAGUGAUUAUCAGAGCCUUUCUUUAUCUGAAUGCACACUGAUUUUCACCGUGUGUUACUACACUGUGUCAGUAUGAGGGGUAGAGGUUGCAGGGUUUAACAAUAGAGAGCAUCAGAGAAGCACAUAAUGAUCACUCAUCACCCAAACAGUCCAUUAGACUCCAUUUUUAGGGGCUGCAGAGACACUUCUCUAUUCACCUUCGACCUGACACUUUUUUCAGUCUCAGGCAGGUGAUUUUAGCUUUCAUGGAAAAUUAUAAAAACCUCCAGUGCUUGGUUCACAAUCCCAGAUUUCAUGAAUGAUAAGACCAUUCUUGUAAAAACCAUUGUCAGUUCAAUUUCUACUUUUAUACUUUUGAAUUCUAACCACAUUUAUGCCUCUCUGAGAGCUUGUACAUGUGCUUUUAGUCAAUCUUUUUAUCACAUUUUACUGCCCCUUUGUGUGGACACGUGACUACACUAAAUCUACUGUAUUUUGGCUCUCAUUUUUAUGUAUUUAUUCAUGUAUUCACAUCAGUAAUACUCUGGCACUUGCACUUGUUUGAAUGAGAGUGCUGCAUAUUCUAUUCUGUUUUGUUUAUAGUGAUUUCUAUGCUACAUCACUCUGGUGGUUAAAUAUAUACACUACAGGCCAAAAUUUUGGAAUCAAGGCCAUUACAGGCCGAACAGUUGGGAGUAACUUUAAGUUUUUGUUCACAAUGCAUGAGUUUUAUGUAUUUUGGGAUGCAUUACUCUUUGAUCAGAUGUUGUUUUCAUGGAAAUGCACCAUUUUACUCCAUUUACCUUUAGAUAUACAUUGAUGUUAACUGACCAUUGCUAAAUAUAUGUCAGCAAAAGAUAAUAAGGGCUUAGUUUUAGGGUUGAUAACAUUUGCAAGAGUCACAACUUUAGUGCAAAAGCAAAAAAAAAAAAUCACAGUUGGAUUAUCAUUUCAACUUUUUGGCUUUUGGUUUGUGUGCUUUAACAGUUUGCUAAACGUCUUUGUUUUAACUUUCAUUAGUGCUAAGUAACUUUAGCUUGUGAGCUAACCUGUUCAGAUACAACAUACAAUAUGUAUUUUCACUGUCUCAAAGUCGCAAAAUUGAAUCGGGCUUGAUGUGUAUCGCCAGGCACGUCAAAACCCGCCUUCAAAUAUUUCUGAAUUUCGCGUCGGAUGUUUGCGUCGGUCCUGUUGUGUAAGGAACUUAACCUGUGUAUACUGUAUAUGCCAUCUAAAGCAUGCCAAACCUGUAGAUGGCAGUGCAGCGAGAGGCUCAAGCCCACGUUAGCUAAUCAGAAUCCCACAUAGCAGCAACAACAACAACAUUACUCCCUUCUUUCCUGUGCACAAUUUGCCGUCGGCUACACAAAUUUCUGUUUUUCUCCGUUUACAUGCGAACAUGCAAAUGGAAUUUUCCAAAAUCACUCUGGACGGAGUUCUUAAAAAGCAUUGUUUUCAGGGGCGAAUUCUCCAUUUGCGUCUAAAUGAAGGGUGCAAACAAUGGUGAAUGUUUCUCUUUUUAAAAAGAACCAUGUCUGUAUAAAUGGGGCCAAAGUCUUACCUCUUUAGCCUGGCUAGGCAAACACACAAUUUUUUAAUUUACCCAACAUUUUUCAGGCUGAGCCUCCUGCCAAAGAGCUACAACACAAACAUUAUCUCAGCCAUGCCCCGAAUAUGCAAAUGUAUGAAUAAUCCAUAGUUUAUUAGCAACACAUACCAUAAGUUUUUGAAUGGGGCCUUUUUCUGUUGUAACCUUGGACGUGUUAACACUGGACGUAAUGGGGAUUUGUUGGCUUCUGCAGCCAGCCUCUAGUGGACACUAAAGGAACUACAGGUUUCUGCACUCCUGUGGUAGCUUCAUUCUUCUCGCCUUGAGGAUGCUGUAUGUGAAAGUACCUUGUGUCCUCUGCCGUUCAAAGAACCUUUGCACUUCAUUUCAUCAUCUCUAUACUGACUGAUUUUCAUUCUCUUGCAUGUCAAAAAUCCUUAUCCUCGAUUCCCGGUAUUUCUAUGAAAACCUGUCUGACAGACGAGCAAACAUCCCUCCUCAGCUGGCAUACAGAUAGAUAGAUGUUGCUCUGUUAUUGUCUGUCACAUGGAAACACUGUUUGUAAGCAGCACAGCUGUCAACAUGUCAGCACUUCAGGAUGAGGCAGAAUAAAAUACAUGUGGCUUUUUUCCAAGCAGCAGCGAUAUCUCAAUAAUCAGUGUCACUACAGUGCGACACGCUGCCUGGAGAUGGAUUCAGCCAACCAAGUAUGUUAGAAACAUGUGAAUUUAAUGCAGAGGAUUGUGCUUUAGUGGAGUGAAGCUGUAUCUGUGAGGUGAUUUUAAAGUCAGAAGAGCUGUGUUUAAUGUAAGAAACCAUUGCUGCUGACAGAGCCUGCAGCUUGGCAUUAAAGGGCAUCACAUCGCUGGAUUGCUUGUGACAUUUUGGUGCAAUUGUUUUCACAGCUCAUGAGUUUUCUGAAUCAAGUUUGGACCUUUCACACCUGUAGCUGCGGUGAAACUCCUGCACCUUCUCGCUGCUCCGUGUUUGUGAGUCUCAGAGGAGCGUUGUGUGUUUACCGGAGCGAAUAAAACACCGAGAGCGUGGGAUUAAAUAACAAAUAUAAUGUCCUGUGGUGAAGUUUGCUUAAAGUACAGGAGAAAGCAGGAAUGAUAAUGUGUUUAGAGGCUGUUUUCAGUGCUGCUGAUUCAGAGGUCAGAGUUAAGUUGCUGUACGGGAAAAAGUGCUGCGUGGUUAUCUGAACUACACACUGUGAAAUGUAUCAGGACAGAGGAGCCAGUCAGCUUAAAAAGGAAAACAGGCUGAAUAUAAAAGCAUGUAUUUACUAUUCAGCUACAGGUUACCGCUGUGACUUUCCAAGGCCAAUAUAAUAAUACAAUCCUGACUGCUGCUUUGAAUUAUUAGGGUGUUUACUCUACUGUUCAAGAGUGUACCCUGGAAACUUGUGCGAGGUUUCUGAAUGUUUUUGGUAUUUUUUCAAGGUCAUAACACGCCUGUCUAACAGCAAGAUUUCUCAGCGCACCCUCUGAAGCUAAAUCACAAGACAGGUUGUCAAACUGCUGAUGAACUGCCUUAUCCAGCAGUAAUAAAACCAGCUAUAAUGGCUGCAAAGUAACCUUCAGCAGACACUGCCCUCAUCCACCUGAAGUCUGUGCUCUUGUCUCUGACAGGCUCAGAUUGUUGUCAGCUUACAUGUUACGGGUCAAACUCUCUAACCUGUGCAAAAAGAGGAUGGAAUUUCUAGGGGUGUCCCGAUACAACUUUUAUACUUCCGAUACAUUACCGAUAUUGUAGCCUACAGUAUACGGAUACUGAUCUGAUAUUGGCACAAACUUGAGCAUGGCAAGUUUUAGGACUGGGCAAUUAUAUGAUCGUGAUUGAUGAUCGUGAUGAAUUUCAGUUCGAUCAAGUUAAUCAGCUGUGAGCAUAGUUACUUGAUCAAAUGUAGCGGAAAUAUGCGUCACAACAGCCAAUCAGAGUCAAGCUUUUCCUGCUCACUUCUGUAAGUUGCUGGAGAAGUAAACAAGAGAAGUAAACAGAAUGACCGAAUGUAGAGCUAAAUGUGGAGCCGAAGGGAGCAAAGUGGAUGUCAGCCGUGACUUAGUCAUCCUCAAAAGAUGUUAUUAUUGAAAAGUUAUUCAAGGUCGGUUGUGUGGCGGUGGUUCGGGUAUCUCCAAAGUGACGUUGAGCAAUUAAGCCAAUGUGAGAGGUAUGUCAGCGGUUGGUGCCCUCAAAAACCGGCAACACAAUAGAUCUGUUUAAUCGUUUAAAGAAGUACUUCCCGGGUGAUUAUGCGGAAAGCAUGAAAAUGCGAGCAGAGUCUGCACAGCCUGACACUUCUGAUGGUACAAGUAGCAUUAGCAGUUUAGCUACAACUAGCGGUGCAGCCACCAGACCAAAGCAGCAAUCAAUCGUAUCAUCUAUGUUUACAUCAUCUAAUGUUUACAUUUUAAGGCGUCUUUAUUAUCCCUGAGGGAGCAAUUUGUUUGUUUUGGGUCUUGCAUACCUGCAGAAACUCUCAGGACUGUAAACUAAUUUAUUGUAUUACUUACUAUUUAUCUACAUUUGUUGUACUGUUGAAUUGUUUUUUAUAUUACUAUGAGUUUACCUUAUUCAAUUUGCUUUGUUUUUAUUUGUAUGUUAAUAAAAUAUUGACCUAAUCUCUAGUUUAAUUAGUUUUUAGUACAGAUACUUAAAAAAAAAAAAUCGUGAUUAUAAUCGAGAUCGGAUGAUAUGACAAAAGAUCGUGAUUUUUUUUUUUUGCCAAAUCGCCAAGGCCAAGCAAGUUUUGCACUCAGCUGCAACAUCUUUUUGGGACUUGAACGAAAACUACUUCCACAUGGCCAACAUCACUCCAACUCCUUGCUAAUUUUUAGUACCUUAGUACACACUGUUGUUGUGAUCCCAUGGGCUUUGCAUGCUAGAUUUGAGUGCUGCUAGAUAGGGGUGCUGGAGCGGAAUCUGGAAUGGACUGCUUGUAUUAUGCUAAUAUUAGAGAUUUUUAGAUACAGGCUGGUAUAAUCCAAUAUUUGUUUUUGUUUGUUUGUUUUGCUGAUAUUGAUAUCUGAUAUCUGUCAUAUAUCCGAUAUUGACAUCCAAUAUUGGACAGAUAUGCAAUAUUGAUAUCAGAUAUCAGUCCGAUAUCGAAUCGGGACAUCCCAAGGAUUUUCCUCAUUGCUUUGCAUCGACCCGCAGCAGUGCAUUAGGCUGUAAUAUCUGCAGUCUUCUGUAAUCUUAUUAUUUCUGCAGAGAGUUCUUGCUUUUGUCUCUGAUAGGCUCAGGUUGUUAUUCUGAAGACAUUUCAAUGUGUAGCAUUGUGUCUGUUUAUGCAUCCAACUGUGUCAUGAGCAAAAUUGUGAACAAACUUCAUGAUGAACUCAGCAUGCUUUUGGAGGAUACCUUUAGGAAAUACAAUAUAAAGUUCAACAUCAACACCCACUGACCCGUCAACUCGCUAGUCACUUAAUUCAAUGACUAUGCUAAAAAAAUGUCCAAUCAUAACUUUAAUUUAUUCAAUGUAACACUGUUAGGUUAGUGUUUUUAAUAGCUAUUAAAUAAUAUGUCCAUCUUAUUUAAGCCAUUAUAUUGCCAAUGAGUUUCCAUUUACCACCAGUUUAAAGUACUCAGCUGGUUUGCUCUCAUCCACUGGUCUAAUGGUCAAGCCUGUUGCCUGUCACUUGCACACCGUUGGCCAACAGCAGUGUUGUUUUCGUCAGGCAGGACGAAAACUUAAAUGACGACGUCAGACCCCUUUUUUCCUUGACGAAAAUGAGACUAAGACGAACGUCACCAAAGCUCUGUAAAGACUAAAAUUUGACGAAAACUGUAUUCAUUUUCGUCAGACGAGAACGAGACGAGACUAAAUUGUUAUUAGGUGGACGAACAAAGUUUCAAAACAUGCUUUUUUUUGUCCUAACAGUCACGCCCCCAUCACACACGCACCAAAAGCCUCGCUCGCGCACAGCUGCGCGCACACACUCAUACACAUACACAGAGCGGCAGGUGGACGAGGCGCGCACACACACACACACCAUGGCGGCAGGCACAGCAGCGGUGCCCGGUGGCCGAAAAAAGAGGGCUGCUUUAUGGUCCUACGUCAGAUACAGUCCAAGUGACAUUAAAACACAAUGUCUUGUACGGGGACGGGGAGACGAGACAGACGACAGUUGUGGAGCCACGGCUUCCUCAUGCUGCGGCUUCAAACUGUCGGGAAAGAACACCACGAACCUCAAAAGGCACCUUUUUGUUGACUAAAACUAGACUAAAACCGUUUGAGUUUUCGUCGGACUAAAACUAGACGAAAACUAUCGAGGAUAGAAAUGACUAAAAUGGGACUAAAAUGAAGAAGCAUUUCGUCAAAAUGACUAAGACUAAAACUAAAUCUAAAAUGCCUGCCAAAAACAACACUGGCCAACAGCACAUGACGUAUUUCCCACACAACCCCCACUGGCUGCCAGUCAACUUUAUUCAUGGACCUGUCUUACAUUUUUCUUUUUAUAUGCGUGUAGGUGUUCAGAGAGAGGAAAGGCAAUCAACAUGUCCCUCUGGUUCAUGAUAGAGGUAGUCUGUCUGGUGUUAAAUGUAGAACUUUGGAAGUCAUUUCAUAGUUUAAUUUCUGAAAUUGUUUAUGAACAGACCAAGCGACAGGAUCUCUUGUCAUUGUCCUCAGCCGUUCUCAGGGUUCAUCCAAACUUUAUCUGAGUCUGAACUUGUAAAAUGUCAUAAAAACAUGCGACGGUUUGUUAAAUGAUCUGUCGCAGACUUUAAUCCUGUCCUGAUGAAAACAGAGGCUUAUUCCUGAGACUUUAAUCAUUAAUGUAUAAAAAGAAUUGAUUAAAUGAGCCACAGUGACGGCAGCUAACUGAAACUGGGAGUAAUGAACCUGAUCCUGUCUCUAAUGAAAGUCUAAUAUAUCAGCCAGCAAACGACUUUACACCUGAUUCAGUUUAUGACGGAACAAGCGACGGCAUCAUGUGAGGACAAAGUAAACUCUCCAACAAAGUUCAGUCAGACUCAGAAAUGUUUUACUGCUUCCUCUUCUCUCUGAGUCUAACGCCUGGCUCACACAGGACGCCGCGCAUGCGCUUGGCUGUUCACACAAAGCGUUUUCUGCUGCGCUCUGCCGUCUGCCCUCAGUUUUCCACACUUAUGAGCGCUUUAAACAUGGGUACGUCAAUAUUUAUUUGUUUUUUUUACGUCAUACAUGAAUUAAAUAUUGGCAGCAUCUUCAAGUAUUGUUUUAAAUUGUUAUAUUGGGGUAAACAAUGAAUGAAUUGGGGAGUCUGUUGACUCCAUUGUAUGUGUAGCCUUGUUAGCUCGAGGCUAUUGACUCUAUCGUAAUAAAGUGUCUAAACGUACUAAUUUCUUUGGUUUUGUAGGCUAAUAUUGUGUUUUUAAAUUAUAAAAGAUUUUAUUUUGUCAUAAUUAUUCCCAGUGUGUGCUGUCGUGGAGAGAAGGAGAGUCCUGGCUCUCUACUGCGUAGGCUCCGAUGACAGAGAAGGAGAUUGUGGGUCCAUCCCAUCAAUAAAAGAAGGGGGCAGCAUGGUGUUUUCCAUCAUCUUAUUGAUGAACUGCACCUGGACAGUGCCCACCAUCUGAAGUAUUUCAGGAUGAGUCAUGAAAAGAUGGAAGAACUGCUGUCAAUUGUUGGACCAGAUAUAUCAACAAUGACCACAACCUACAGAGAAGCCAUCCAUCCGCAACAGCGUCUUGCUGUUACACUUUGGUAAUAAACAUCAUGAUAAUUGUUAUUACUAUGUUAGUUUUACCCGAAUGAUUCACACAUACAAGACCAAAAUAACAAAGAACUCAUGUUCAUGCAUUUACAAAUGUAAGAAUUCAAAGAAAUUGUUAGAACAAAUAUACAAAUAUUCCAAUUAUAAACUGCUCCCAAAAUAAAGCUAAAGCUAAAUUAACUUAAACCAUUUACAUAACACGGCAAACCUCAAAUAAAAUAAUCAUCAUACUACAAUUACAGGCAUCAAACAGCAAUCUCACAGAUUCCCUUAUAACGGAGGAGAUCUUCAAGCUCCUCCAGAAAAGACACUGGCCUCGUCACACCUCCAUGGGAACAAGGUUGUUGUUCUGUAUGUGAUUGGUGGCGGUGCUGAGUAGGGGGAGGGGGGUCGGGGUGUUGCUGGGGAUGUGUCCAUGAAAGAAUUGUUGUGUGCUUUGUUGCUGCCAGGUACGGGAAUGGGGUUGCGUAUUGCUUGCCUCUUCCUCCAGACUUUCUAUCAGGCGUAGAAGUUCACCCUGGAAACGGUUUUGAAGGACAGGUGGUAGUGCAUUUAUUCUUGGGAUGAAACUGUGUAAGUAAUAUCCCAUUGCCUCUUCAUGGGUGGGGACAUGGAGGGGAGGACUGACUUUAUCGGCCGUGAGUAUCUGCAAGAGCUGCUGCUCCACUCCCACAGCAGCUGAAGAAUAUUCCCGGCCCUGAUGUUUCUUCUUUCUUCGCUGUGCGUCGGAGGAAAGCUCUUGCACUCCGGGGUGUGGUGGUGGGGUGUCUGACUGGAUCAUUUGUGAUGUGGUCGUAGCUGAUCUCUGACCAGAGCCACUUUGAAAUGGCGAGGAGGGUCUUGUCAAGGGGGUUGGAGUGCAAGGCCUUGACCCUUGUAGUGAUGAUUGUGGUGAGGAUCCUCCCAUUCCCUCGUCUCCAGCCUCAAAGUUUUCUUCUCUCAGACCCUCUAAGAGUACUUUUUGUGCUAAGAAAAAUAAAUACAAGAUAUGUAUUUUUCAAUCAAUGGCUUUCAUAUAAAAGAUGUAUACAACUGAAUGUAUAUGGAAUAAAAAUACUAACCUUCUGGGCUGCAAGUAGGGAUCUACAAAGGAGAAUAGAUAUGCCAGUCUCCAUUCUUUCUGGCUGCCACCAGCAGACCCACUCGCAGUCUUUUUCCCUUUAUGCUUCACAUAAGCAUCUCUCAACUGAUUCCACCUCCUCUUGCAAUCAUCAGCUGUAGCAUAGAAAAAAAUUAUAAAUAAAGCAUUGUAUUGUAUACCCUUGGUAUUAUUUAUGUAUUUCUAUAACGUUUUUCACAUAUUGUCACAGAUUCCUGGCCUCUGGAGAAAGCUUUGCCAGCCUGGCUUACCAGUUCCGUAUGGGGAUGAGCACAGUUAUGAUGUCUGUGCACAUGACGUGCCACGCAAUCGAGAAAAAUAUGAUGACUGCGCAAUUCCCUCCGCCAACAGAGCAAUGGUGGAAGGAGACAGCUGAUAGAUUUUGGAGGAAAUGGAACUUCCCAAACUGCAUCGGAGCUAUUGACAGCAAGCAUGUCACCAUCAAGGCCCAAAUUAAUUCUGGGAGUUUGUAUUUUAAUUAGAAAAAUGUUUCUCUGUGGUACUGCUUGCUCUGGUGGACGCCGAUUAUCGAUUUAUCAACGUCCAGGUGGGGGACUUUGGCAGGUCAACUGAUGGAGGCACCUACAGCAACUCUGACUUGGGUAUGGAGGCCAAAACUCUGGGUGUGCCUGCUGACUGUCUUCUGCCAAGGUCUGGACAACAAGGUCCACUGCCCUUCACCAUGGUUGGUGAUGCCGCUUGCCCCCUUUAACCCUACCUCAUGAGGACAUUUCCCGGUCAGCGGCUUCCAAGAUGGAGGAGGAUUUUCAAUAACAGACUGUCCCGGGCCAGAAUGGUAGCAGAGUCCACAUUUGGAAUUCUUGCAGCAAGGUGGAGGGUGUUCUACACCAGAAUCAAUUUGCAGCCAGAAAACGUUAAUCGUGUUGUGCUGGGUGCCUGCAUCCUUCACAAUUUCCUCAGCAACCCCACAGACAACCACAGGGGGCUGAGGGAGGCGGAGGAUAGAAGGAAACGCCUUGUUGAUGCUCUAAACAUGGGUGGAAAUCACGGCAGAAGAGAGGCAUAUGAAGUUCGCGAGAAAUUCCAUGCCUUCUAUAACUCUCCAAAGUGUUCCCUGGCAGGACCGCAUGGUCUAAAAUGCAUAAUGUUCUGUGAAUAAAUAGUACUCUGAAUUCUUUGUCAUCCUUGUUCACAUUGAGUUUCAAUGAAAAAUAUAUUUUUUGAAUAGAAUUAAAUGCACUAGAAAUUUGCCGCAAUAAAACUGUCAUUAUAUAUAGUAUUAUAGUAUUAUAGUAUUGAGUAAUGGCUAAAUAAAGACAGCUGAGCUUAUCUUUGAUAAAAAAUAAAUAAAUCCAGGCCCUCAGAGUUUAAUGACAAUAAGAGAAUAAUAGAAGGGUUAAAUCUUCACACUAUAUGAGAGAGAUUUGAUAUUUGAUAAGUGGAUAAGUGGAAGACAAAAAAAUACUAUAAUAAUUUUACAUGAGACCAGCUUUUGUUUUAUGAGCAUCAAUAACUACAAGCAUUGUAGGUUUUUUACCUACAUUUGGAAGGGUGGUGUGGGAAGGGGGGGUUAAACUUUGAGUGAGAACGACUCUCCUUUGGCAGUGAUAAUUGCUGUGGGGGAAGGGAAACACACUGUUUCAAAAUGUACUACCUUGAAAGUGCCAACACAGAGCUGGGACAAAGUUUAUAGUUUUGGGAUUGCUGAGAAAUAGGCUGUAACGGCUGCAAGAUCAAAUCUGGUUUUUCGUUCCUGACAGACUCAGAUUGAUAUUCCAAAUGUGUGCCAACAUGACAUAAAAUAACCCCUACAAGAAAAGAGCUUUAUUUAAAAAAAUAAGAAUUUUAUUGUGUCAAUAAAAAAAGUAAAUGUACCUCACAACACAUGAGUUGGUGGUCUACAGUUUAUCAAAGAGGAGGCUUCCAUCCAUUCCUGCCCUUGCUUGAAAGUGUAUUUUUGUUUUUUGUUGGACUAUCACAACCCUAUAAUUAAGUUUUUUUGUUAUCCUAUUUUUCAUGUGUGUUUCCUGUUUUAUUUUGAUACUCACCUCUAUGUCUGAUAUAUUCAGAUUCUACACCUCCUGCCCUCCUGUGUUCCCAGUGUGUAGUGACCGGACCCUCUCUAAUGUGUUUCACCUGUGUCUGAUUGUCUUCACUCACCUUGAGUAUUGAGUCUGUUUUCCCCUGCCUCAGUGCCAGUUUGUCUCUUGCUGGUGUGACUUACAUCACAGCCUUUUUUUUUCCAUUUUUAGAGAUCUUUUGUGACUGACCUUUGCCUUCUUUUUGUACCUGUGUGAGCCUUCUGAUUUUUGACAGCUUUUGAAGUCAAGCCUUUGAACAUUUUCCCCUGGUGCCAGAGUCGUGCAUUUUUUUCCCCUUUGUUUGGCCAAUCAUUUAUGUAGGAGGACCAUAGUGUUGUAUCACACCGGGCACAAAGUUAAGAAAGUGGUAGACCAACAACUCCUGUUUUGACAACUGAAGAUCCUAAGAGGCUUUGACUACAUCAUGUUUCUUGAGAAUUUAAAAUAAACAAAAUAAAAUAAAAUGUUACCUCACAAAAUAUGGGAGUUGCUUCUCUACCUUGCCUUUUAUUGAUUAGUUUAUGCCUCUGUGUGACUUGCUGUUUGAAAUGGGGAGAAGUGAUCCAAAUAAGAUAUUUUGGAAGCAAUAAUGCAAAAGGGGCAAAGUGACAGGAGUUGUUGGUCUACCACCAGAUAUCUACAGGGUAAAAUUGGGCUCUCAAACACUAAACAAAACGCCCAAGGUUUAAGGAAUCAAAGAAUCACACUGAAACCUUAAGUAUGUCACUGUGUAACUCAGGUGUUGUUUCUACAUACCCAGUUAUUUUUAAAAACAGAGACAUUAACCAUCAUUUGCACCUUUCGUUUGGACACAAAUGGAGAAUUCGCCCCUGAAAACGAUGCUUUUUGCAGAGUGGAGAUUUUAGAAAACUGUGUUUGCAUGUAAACAGAGAAAAACUGACAACAACAGAUUGUGCACCGAACACUGGGUUAAAUGGGACAUUGUUUACAAUCUACAGUCUAUGUUUACAAUCUAUAGUGAUCAUGGAUACAUGCAGAAUAGCUGUCGCAUUUUUGCUGGCACAAUCCCUUUGUAUUUGUUUGCAUUUGCAAAUACAAGUGCUGUAAUAUGUGGAGGAGCAGAGACGACUGAGUGCUCAAAGAACAGCAAUGUUGCGACAACUUCUCCCUCCGACACAAAGAGUGUGUCCGCGUCGCCGCCAGCCUUGCCAGUUUUGGGUCUGACCUGGGCGCACUGCUGUCCGGUGGGAGAACUUCGAAAAUGAAGUGGUUCUGCCGUGAGUGGCGUGAAAAUUUCCAGAUUUCAUGGGCAUCACUGCUGUCACUCUUCGAGUUGCUGCGUCCCUACGUCAAGGCUGAUAACACCAUUGUGUGGUCCUCUGUCAGUGUCACAAAAAGAGUUGCCUGCACCCGGUAUUACCUGUCCGAUGAGGGUAGACUACGCAAAACAGCCAAUGCAUUACAGCCUACAGGUUUGGCAUGCUCUUGAUGGCAUAUACACACAGGUUAGUGUAAACGAAAGCUGUGGAGAGGGUGAAAUUUCCGUUUAUGAAAAUGGCUGGGGACAUCUAAAUGUAGUCUCACCGAACUCUACGUUUGCUCUGUGCUUCAUACUGCUGCAGUUCAUCUCACAGCUUCCUUUCGUGUUUUAACGUUAUUAACACCUCAUUAUGGCGCAGAGCGGCUGCCACCACACUGCAGGUCUCACAGAGCCACUCUCACAAAGUCAUAUAAUACUCAUAAUUACCUGUGAGAGGAUCUCAGUUUCACUUAGAAAGAGCUUACUCGUUGUGCGAGUGCAGCAGGUAAGGGAUUAGAUCACUUUCAAUUCCUCCCACCGUCAUCAUUUGAAAGUCAAAUCAAUGUGAAAAGCGUGCAUGUAGCUGGAAGUGUGCAUUAACUCGUUUGUAGACGUAAUGCUCUGUAUUAUAGUCUCAGUCAUGGAUCUGAGUUGCAGUAUUUCCUGAGCAGUGCAGGUGCUAAAUACUUCAAAUACAUUUCGAGCACUCAAAAGAAACGAAGAUGCGCGUUUGAAAAGGAACCCGGCGUUUCAGCUUCCGUCAUGUGAAUGUCUGAACGUACUUCAAAACACGUCUGAGACACUUCACGGUGGAGUGCUUAUGAGAUGCAGGGAGUUGCAUAAAAUGAUGAUGAGCAGCUGAUAAUCAAAUGUUGUAAAGAAAUGAAGAGGAAGCCAAAUAUGUGAAUUUUCUGCAAGUAUUGGAGGAAUGAAGAAGUGAAAUUGAUGCAUUAUCUACUGAGAUUUUUACUCUCUUUUUACAUUUAUUCAUUCGGCACAAUUCCCAAAGUUUGAUUUCCUUGUUCACAUAUUUAAUUCUUUGUUUUAAACCUUUUUUGACAUGUGGUGUAAGUUCUUGACGUCACAACUCUUUCUCAAACUGAAUAGUAUUUUUAACCACAGUUUUCAUCAUUUGCCUUACACUAACAUCAAAAGCCUGACUGGAUGCAAGUCAAGUUUUAUCCCCGUCCCCCAUCCCUCUGCAUAUCAGGUUCAUGCUACAGCAGAACUAGGCUAAAGGCUUAUUUAUGCUCGCCAUAUGAAUGAAAACGUACGCGUCCCUUUUAAAUGACAGUUCCAUCACCGCCCACAUGCUUCUAUGCGUCCUUUAUGUUGGCAUAGAUAUUGACCAUUACAUCCACUAGGGGGCAGGCAGGAGUCAAAAGUUUCUGACAACAACAAACAAACAAAAAGAAAGGUGACUGUGGAGGAGCUAUUGGUGGUCAGUUGGGCCAUUAAAUGCCUUGUUGUUGGAGGAAGGAGAAUUCUUUUCUCUAGGAGUACAGAUGAGAGAAACUGGCGACAAUCGUCAUUUUUAGUACUUGAGGAUGUCCACCGGGGCAUUCGACAUUUGACAUCCAGCACCACAAGUCACACAGCGCACCUGUGAGUGGUGCAGACUGACAAGCUGUCACCCUGCACUCUCUCCCCCCCACAGUUUCCUUCUGGUACUGCUCCUUCUGGCCCGUACCCGUAAACUUCAAGGAUACAUGCAGAAAUACGGACGAAAAAGAAUGCGAAGCACUGACAGAGAGCUCCGUCCGUAUGUUGAACAUAAAUAAGCCUUUAGCAAACUGACCCAGACAUCCUGCUUCCCAGCAACAUUUCCAGCUCCUGCCAGGGUAUUCAGAGGCACCCGUCGGUCAGAUAGGAUUUGAAAUCCCCCUGCAAGCUCUGGGCCUCCUUCCACAAGUUGGACAUAUCAGGAAAUCCUCUGCAUGAAGGCAUCCAGGAGGCAUCUCUAUCAGAUGAGGGAAUGAUUUGGAUUUGAAGGUGUAUCACACCUGACCCUACCUCCUUUAGAUAUCCUCGAAGGAAGCCUUGCUUGUAAAUAAGAUCUCAGAUGCUUUUUGGAAAGUAGUUUUCACCAAGUAUGAGUGCAGAGCAAGGGCAUCAUUCCUGAGCCAAGAGACUCAGAGCCAAAGAGAGUGUAGGAACAGCGCAUAAUGAAAUCUCUAAACAAUAACAAGAUGUCUGUCAUGACAUCUGUAGUUCCAGCGUCUUAUUAAUUCUCUCUGAACAAGCCGAGGACAGCCCUGUAGUCUGCACUUCAUCCUGUGAUCCAAACAGCAUCAGCAGAAAGAGGCUCUGUGGUUCAUAAUGUGAUGCUGUAACAUGAUGAGGGUCCUCUCACAGCAUGGAGGCACAAGGUGAGCUGUAUAAUAGUUGUACUUGAAGCUGUUUGACUCUUUUGUUGUAGAAAUAACAGGCAGCUAGCAGGUAUCGAUGUCUUCCUGCAGAGAAGACGCACUGAUCAAUAAGAGCGUCUGUAAACUCUGAGUAUGAGUUAGGUCAAGGAAGUUGAUGAAAAAAGACAAAUCUGGAUGACCUAAAAAAAAGGGAGGAGAAGAAGAAAAAGAGGAGGAAGACGAAGGUGAUGAAGAAAAAGAUGACAAAAGAAAAGGUUAAUUGAAAAAUAUGUUAAGGAAGAAGACAGCAGGGUAAAACUGUAAGAAAGAGGAGACAGACAGGAUAUGGAUCUGAAAAUAUGACGGAGGAUGAAGGAGGAGAAGGAGGAGACAGAAAAAAAGACGAAGAGGAUGAAAGGAAAAAUAUGAUAAAGAUAUAAAAGCAGAGUCCAAUGAGAGUGAGAAAGGCAGAGAAAAGAGAAGACAAAAGACAAAGGGCUCUAUUUUUGUUUCUCGCCGGUGUUCCGGUUCUGCAAACUUUAGCGCUUUUCACAUAUAUUGACAACCAGAGAUCCCGACCAAACUGUCCACUCAAAUAAGCACUAAAAAAAUAAAGAUAAAAACAUUAUGAUAAACACAGCUGGACGUCGCAAGGAGGACUCGAUCUUAUAACGCAAUUAAGAACGAGCAACGAGGGGCGAGCGCGCCGCUGUAACGCAACAGAUCGGCUUACUGAGCAGCUCGUGUACCUCAUACUUGUCAUUCACUGUUUCCAGGGUGUCACCACAUAACCUGCUCCUAUAGAGAAACACGCCCAUGUUAGCUGGUGACAGCAGUAGCAUCUGUUAAAUUGUGAGCAUCGGUGAUCAUUUUAAUUAUGGAUCUUUUUUUGCAAAGUCUAAGACCACGGUCACAUUGAUUGGCGUGUCACAGUGUAUCACGUUUCAUUGGAAAAAGCACAUGUUAACUUGUGAGAUGUUUGUGUGGUAGGUUGUGAUAAUCCACCAUGACACAAUGUCAGCGUUUUUUAAAAUUAUCAUGCAGUCAUGCAGCAUCACUGGAUUUGCGUCUCAAAAACGCAAGUCAGCCAUGUGCUUCAAUAGAGACGUGCACCUGUUCCAUAUAUUUCACUGUCGUGCCAGAUGUGAUCCUUCUAAACGUGCAAAAGGCAUCUGACUUUGAUGGCCCCACAUGAUGUUGCAAUGGGUGUUCUACCCUUCUGUAGCUCCUAACUAAUUAGGACCACAACACCUACAGUAUGUAUUCAGUAACAUAUUUUGGAUUUAUUUUUUUUUUUAAAUCAUUAAGAAAAAAAUAAAAUAAAAUCAUAUGUGCAGUCAGCCAAUCAGAGCAACCAGUACUUCAGCCACAAUCAAGGAACACCUGGUUAGGCCAAAAAAGAUAUUAAUAGGGGUUUCCAAACAAUUUUGACUUGUUCCAAGUUAGGGGAUCGACAGUGCAAAAAAGAGAGAGAGAGAGAGAGAGAGAGAGAGAGAGAGAGAGAGAGAGAGAGAGAGAGAGAGAGAGAGAGAGAGAGAGAGAGAGAGAGAGAGAGAGAGAGAGAGAGAGAGAGAGAGAGAGAGAGAGAGAGAGAGAGAGAGAGAGAGAGAGAGAGAGAGAGAGAGAGAGAGAGAGAGAGAGAGGUGAGUGAGGUAGUAUAUUGCAGUUGUUUGUUGUCUAGCUUGUGUUUUCUGUAUUGUUUUGUGUGACAUUGUGUUGUGUGUAGGCCUUGUGGUGCGUUCUUCUUGUCAUUGUUGUAUAUUUUGUGUGUCCAGUCUGACUGUCGUGUUGAUUUGUGUCUAAUUGUAUGCUUGUUACCUGUUGUGUUUUACAUCUGUGUUUUUGAUAUUUGUGCUGUUGUGUUUUAUGUAAAGUAGUGGUCAGGUAAGCUCGAAGAAAGCUAAGCUAAGGUAUGGACAUUGUGUGUUUUAUUAGUAAGUGCGAGAGGUGAGUUGUGUUUGUGUAAAAGGUAAGUUACAGUAAGGCUGGUAGGUAAGAUUAAGUUAAGUUGAAAGUAACAGGUAAGAAAAACAGGUAGGGCUGAUGAUAGGGCUAAGUAGCCAGAUAAGUACUCAGGUAAGAAGAUUUUAGGUAAGAGUAGGCCUAUUCAGGUAAGUUUAGGGAUGGACAGGGACCGUGUCUGAGAGAUCACCAAUUAUUUGGUGGAUAAUAUCUACCCGGAAGUGUGUUCCUCCCGAGGCCGAUUCAUCAUCCGCCGUAGAUGUGAGAACUUCCUCAUACGAGGUAAGAAAAGCCUGAAUAGCAGAUUGUACGGUGUAAGGUGGUCACCUCACCUCAGGAGGCAGAUGACAUUUUUAAAGCCUUCCAUGCUAGCCAGCAUAGAGGGCAUUGUGGGAUGGAGAAAACAUUAGAAUCAAUUUCUAGAAGGUACUACUGGCCUGGCAUGGAAAAAGACAUCCAGCAAUGGAUGAGUUGAAAUGUAAUUGUGAUCAGUCUACUCUUUGUGAUGUCUGGCAUCAAUUGGAUUCACCUUCCUGUGGGGUCUGCUUUGAUUCAGAUAAAGGAGUGUCCGGAAUGCCAGGCCAAGCCUACAUCUCAAUUGAGGUAGAUGAAAAUACAAACCUACUUUCCAACAGAAUGAAGAUUUCUUAAUAUCAUGUGUAUUUUCAUUUAGGUGACCGAGCCACUGGAGCUGGUGGGGAUGGACCUGGUUGGAAAACUGACUAGGACCAAAAAUGGCAAUCAGUACAUUUGUGUGAUGAUUGAUUAUUUUACCAAAUGGACAGAGGCGUAUCCCCUGCAGUCGAAAUCAGCAGCUGAGGUUACACAUUGUGUGUUGGUUUUUUUCUGUAAAUUUGGAGCACCAAAACGGUUGUUAACAGACCAGGGUAAAGAGUUUGUUAACCAGGUAAGAGUGAGUGAGUGAGUGAGUGAGUGAGUGAGUGAGUGAGUGCAUUUCAUGUUUUAUUGUUUUCUGACAGGUCAACUACAGUGUCUGCAGCUCUUUGGAGAUAAAAAGGAGCCUUUGUGCCCCUUAUCAUCCCCAAACAAAUGGCUUGGUGGAGAAAAUGAAUGGCACCAUUCAAAGGUUUGAUGAAGGUCUUUGACUAUCAUUAAUAUCAUUACCUUUUUGAGUCACAUUGUAAGUGUGUGUGUCUGUGUAUAUCUGUGUGUAGUAUUUCCUUACAAGAAACCGACAAACCCAACACAUGAGAUGUACACCUGCAAUCCACCCUGUUUGCACUAAGAACCAAAAAACAGUUGACCACCCAAUUUUCCCCGUAUUUGGCAGAGAGGCCAGAUAUCCCACCGAAAUACCAGAGGAGUGUGAGGUAUGGACAAUGAAUUGGUGGUAACAUUUAUUUGAUAUGACAUAGCCAUUUAGGAAGUGACACGAUGCCUUACUGCUGCAGGUAACGCAUGAUGUUGUCGAAAAAAUGAUAAGGACAAAGAAAAUGUCGGAUAGGCUGCAGGCCUUAGAUUGAUGCCAUGAGAAGGCCCUGGAAAACACUCAAAAAGUUAGAGAGGUCCUGAAAAGAAAGAGGGAAGAAGAGGGCCAGGUUGACCAUUUUCAGGUAGGGGAUCUGGUCCUGAGAAAAAACAUAAGAGAGGAACAGCGAAAGGGUGGGAAGAUGGGCCGAGGAAUGUUGGGGCCAUUUAAAAUCAUCAACAUUGAAAAUAAAAGUGUUGACUUUGUCUCUGAAAAGGGGAAGACUACUUUAAAGAUCAAUAUUGAUCAAUUGUCUCAUUACAUCGAGCCAAAAAAGAGGGUCCCACGUCAUUGGAGAGAAGGGGAACAACCACCAGCAACAGCUUCACCGCCACCAUCAUCUCCAUCUCCACCAGCAGCUCCCUCCCUGCCAACUACAGCUCCACCCCCCCUCAUUCUGACUGUGUGGGGAAUCGCGAUCAUGAUAAGGAGUAUUUCUGUCCUGCAUGCAGUUUCAAUAAAUAAUCCUUUUAAAAAAGUCCAGUGUUUCAUGGUCGAUCUUCACAAUUUAUCACACAUGCGUCUCACAAGUUAACAUGGGCUCUUUACACUUAGACAUGGUACAUUGCGAUACGUCCAUGAGUGACCGCUGUUGCAGACUUUUAAGAAGAAAUGGUGUGUAUUAUGAGAUGGUCGUCACAAUAUAACACGGGCAAGCUUCUGGAGUCACCAGCUAACAUGGACGUGUUUCUCUAUAGGAGCAGGUUAUGUGGUGACACCCUGGAAACAGUGAAUGACAAGUAUGAGGUACACAUGCCGCUCAGUAAGCCGAUCUGUUGCAUUACAGCAGCGUGCUCGCCCCUCGUUGCUUGUUCUUAUUUGCGUUGUGAGUUCGAGUCCUCCUUGCGACAUCCAGCUGUGUUUAUCGUAAUAUUUUUAUCUUUAUUUUUUUUAGUGCUUAUUUGAGUGGGCAGUUUGGUCGGGAUCUCUGGUUGUCAAUAUAUGUGAAAAGCGCUGAUGUUUGCAGAGUUUUUCUCCUUGGAAGUGCCGGCGACCGAUCGGUUCGGACUGAGGCUUUUGUGGCGAAUCUGCAGAACAGACAACAUCUGGUUCAGAUUUACUGAAAAUCUCACCACUUAAUAUGAUCACCAGGUAAACCGGAACACCGGCGAUGUGGCGUAGGCGUGGCGUAAGACAGGUCCGCUGCUUCAACAAGGCGUGCCCAAGCACAUUUUGGUAUUUUGGUGAGUGGCGCAGCCCGGCGUAAGUAUCCCCCUCCCUAACUCAGCUCCUCCCAGCGGCGUAAGUCGUAGCGAGGGAGGAGAGAGGGCGUGGAGUGGAUUUAACACAGCCGAGACCUGUUUUUGCCAAUCAGAACCCUUCCUCUCCUCACCUUUAAAUCCACCACGGUGAGGCGUGUUACAAUUUUCGUGAAGUAGUCAAAGAGAUCAAGAGAUGUCUCAAGACAGCAAUGCCACACAACAGAAGGCUGACCAGGUUUGAAUUGGCGAGCUUUCAGCGCACUUUCUAUGCCGCCAGCGGGCACGAAAAUGUCACUGUGCCAGUUGAUUCUGUUGACACCUCCCCCUACCGUGCCACGCCCAGCUUGGCAAACCUCGGUGCGCCUCAGUCCACGAAAAUACCAAACUUGCUGUGCACCGGGCUCCGCCAGACGAAAAUACUACUGCGCAGGGUGCGCCACCCUCCGCCGUGUCACCAGCGGGCCCGAAAAUAGAGCCCAAAGAGUCAUCAGAUAAGUAAAACAAGAAGAAAAAGACAACAGAGGCAUGUUGCAUUCACAAAAAAAAAAAGAGAAGAAGAAGCUCUGUUUUUCAGUCAUUUUUAUUCUGUUCUGUUUUUCCAACUGAUUUUUUUUCAGAGUAUUUUUAUUUUUUGCUUAUGUGACUAAAAAUGUUACAAAAAAAUUUGUCUGAAAAACAGAAAGAGGGGGAAAAUAACUGUACAACAAAAAAUGAAGAAAAAAAGUCAGAAAAACAGAAACAGAAAGAAGAUAAAAUUAGUCUGAAAAACAGCAAAGAAAAAAAUACUCAAAAAAAAACACACUUAUAUACACUUCCAUAGAAGACAACACUGACUUAGAAAUAAAGAAGAGAGAAGAGUGUGUUCAUUUAGACAGAAACACUGAAAUUUAUUUGACUCAUUUCCAGAUUCACCCUCCUGCUGCCAAGAAAGAAACCACCCGAGCACUCAGCGUGGAUUUAACUGCUGCUGAAGAUAGACCCUCAGAAUCCACCGACUAUUUUCAUCCGUUAUAAAACAUUCAAAAAAACCACAACAAGCAAAUGUUUCAGGGGAUAUUUGAGUCUUUGUUUGAGUCAUCCACACACAGUCUUUUGUUUGUGCUUUUCAAAGAGAUUUUGUGAAAGAAACUAAACUGUUUUUCUCCACAGGGAGCUGCGGCUGGAGUAAUCUCUGUUUACAUCAUGGAUAUCUGGCAGCACAGAUCCUCUCUGUGUGCCCAGGCUCAUUAUAUCAUAAGGAGGUUUACAGUCUUUGAUUUACACGUCAUGUGACCUGGUAUUUCCUCGGCACUGGAGGGCCAUGUUGGCUUCGCGUGACUGGUAACAACAGCGCAUUCAGACCCGGCUUGGCACCAUAACGGAGCACAUUUCGUUCGAGCCGGAGGCCUGGACGUCGUCACAAUGAUGCAGCAAAAAAGCGAGUGAAAAAUGAAAAACACCUUCCCGUUCUUUCUUCUCCGGAUGUCGCACACAUGCUGCACUCCCGGCAGAAUGAUCCGCUGCACAACCUAUCAGCUCCUACACAGAAAACAGACUGCAUUCACAUUUGUUUUACACUGCUGCACACUGCUCCAGAGGUGUGUUUUCCCCAGAAAAAGACCAGGACUGCCAGCCAUCCCGGAGAUGCAUUCCCAUUGGAAAUCCCCAACACGAGACAAACAAACAUCCUCCUCGCGAUACAUUAGCUAUUCAUUCACAUUUGCAUGCUUCUGUCAGAGGCUGCCAAGACUCGCUCUCUGUGCAAUGCUAAUCAAUUCCUGCAGCGGCUGGAUAAGACCGCUGCACCCUCCCUUUGAGCACCAGCCAACACUAAUAUGAAUGGCUCAUUUGCAAUGUAAAACAAGAUCAAUUAGUAAUCCAGCAUGGAGUGUGCAUGCAAACCACCCGUUAACCUCCGAUGUGAAAACCUGCUUGUUGAACUGCCGGUCUGCGCUGCUGUUUUGUGUCUAACAGGAUUACACAGUUCUGCAGAGCAUUGUGAGGCUAUGAAGGAAUCUUUCCCUCCAUUACCAAAAUAAAGGAAAGCUCCAGCACAAUAGAGUCAAACAAUAUCUCCACACUGCUGCAGACCUUUCCUUUCAGCUCUUUAUUGAGGUCACUGUGAUUGCGCGGAAUUCAGACGCCUCUGAAUGCAUCGUGAACUUUGUACCUCGGAUUGAAACGAGCCAUAAUGUUUCAAACCUUGUCCGUCAGUCUUUGUCUCGACCUUUCUCUGCUUCUGCGAGCAACAGAAAAAAGAUUACCGUGGACUUAGUGAUGCCGAGGUUGAGGACCUCAUUUAGGGGAUACUGCAUCUUUUAUCCCAUCCUGCAGCCGAGCACAGAGCUCCCUCCUUUACCCUCCUGCAGUGUUCGUAUAACAAAAAGACACUCUUUGGUGUCAGGAAUGUUUAAUUAUCUUGUUAAAGCACAAAAAGGAUUGGGGUGUCCGGAGAUCAGAGGCUGUAUCACUGCAAGGAUUGGGAGUCAUAUCUGUGAGCUCUGCAGAUGCUCCACAGGAGCAGGACUCAGGCAGUAAGAGGAGUUAGAUUAAAUUUCUAACUUUUUAGCUGCCUGCCCCAUCAAUCCAUCAUUCUUCCAUCCUUUUACCUCUUAUCUUGUGUCCACUCAAAGUCAUUAUUUCCUGUCUGGCUCGGGCUCAUCAUUUUCAGCCUUAAAUAAUCAAAUGAAUGUAUAAAAGUAAUUCUAAUUCUUCAUUUUAAAAGUCUUGAUAUUGCCCAUGCAGUCGCCCUGGUGCAUAAUCUCUUCUGUGCAGGUUAUUGGUGUUUUAAAUUCCACUGCCAUGAAGAUGUCUUAAUAAAAACAUUUAAUUGCUACUAAAUUUUAGCAGCAGAACUUCACAUUUCUGCUCAGUGGAAUAAGGAUUUGGCAAACCCAUCCCUGGAAUACUUAGGAUGAUGCAGAAAAUGUUGAUAAAUCAGGAUUUGAUGGUUUACAAAUCAUUUAAGCCUAUAUUUAAUUGUAUGUACAGAUCUUGUACAGACAGGACUCGUCGUUGUUGUUUUCUUCCGCUUGAUCCAGGUCCGGGUCACGGGGGCAGCAGCUUCAGGAGGGAAGCCCAGAUGGCCCUCACCCCAGCCACUUCCACCAGCUCCUCCAGGGGGGAUUCCCAGGCGCUCCCAGGCCAGGCGAGAGAUAUAAUCCCUCCACCUGGUCCUGGGCUGGCCAUGAGGUCUCCUCCCGGUGGGACAUGUCUGGAACACCUCUAACGGGAGGCGUCCGGAAGGCAUCCUAACCAGAUGCCCGAGCCACCUCAGCUGACUCCUCUCAAGGUGGAGGAGCAGAGGUUCUACUCUGAGCGCCUCCCGAGUGUCCGAGCCAAUUACCCUAUCUCUAAGGCUGAGCCUGGCCACUCUUUGAAGGAAACCCAUUUUUGCCGCUUGUAUCCACAAUCUUGUUCUUUCGGUCAUUACCCAAAGUUCAUGGCCAUAGGUGAGGGUCCGCAUGUAGAUCGACGGGUAAAUCGAGAGUCUCGCCUUACGGCUCAGCUCUUUCUUCACCACGACCAAAUCACUGUUGAUGCCGCUCCGAUCUGCUUGUCGAUCUCCCGUUCCAUCCUACCCUCACUCGUGAACAAGAUCCCGAGAUACUUGAACUCCUUUACUUGAGGCAAGACCGCCCCUCUGACCUGGAGAAGGACUUGGAGGUGCUGAUUCACAUCCCAGCCGCUUCACACUCGGCCGCGAACCGCCCCAGCAAGAGCUGAAGGUCACUGCUCGAUGAAGCUAGAAGCAACACAUCAUCCGCAAAAAGCAGCAACGCAAUCCUCUCCCUGCCGAACCUGGUAGGCAGGACUCUGGAGUGGAAAUCACCGGACAGUUCAUCACUGCAACCACAAAUGAGGUUAACACUAGACCAUGUGAAGAGGAAAAGAGAUUGAAACCUGAUCCAGAAACACCAGAGUCUUCUCUGGACCCGGGACCUUUUUGGAUUGACUGAGGGGAAGAGGAAAACUGUCCUGUGGUCUGAUGGAUCAAGAUCUGACAUUUUUAUGGAGCCCUAUGGAUCCCACACCCUUCCCCUUGAAGAGUAGAGGGAUGAUCUGGUGUGUUACCAGCUCCCAUUCCAAAGCCAGCAUUCCUGAUGGUAUGAGGAUCAUCAGAGUCCAUGUCAUGGGUUGGUUCCACAUCCUUGAAGGCUCCAUUAAUGCUGAAGAAUAUCUACCGGUUUAGGAGCAACAUCUGCUGACAUCCAGACAAAGACUUUUUCAGGGGAGACCUUUAUUUUUGAGCAAACCUCAUUCUACAGAGAUUACAACAGCAUGGUACUGUAGUAGAAGUGUCCUGCCGAUAAGCUGGACUGAUGCAGUCCUGACUUGUCACCCAUUGAAAACAUUUGGAGCAUCAUGACACCAAAAACAAGACAAAGGAGACCCUGAACUGUUGAGCAGCUGAAAUCCUCUAUCAGACAAGAAUGGGACAUCAUUUGAAUUGAGCUUCUGUAAACAUGGAGAGUAAAAGGUUGUAAUUACUCCCUGUGGUCGCUGCAGUAAUGCUAACAGAGUAAAUCCCCUCAGACUGCUGCUCAUUGACAGUGUAAUAACUCUCUAUUGGACUCUUGUAGCACCCAUGGGAGUCCUGCUGCAGAGUGGCUCUCUCUCACCUCUGUGUGUGCAGAUCUUAGAGUAAAGAUUUACACAUGAAUGGAUUUAUUUGAUAAUGGCCGUCAUUGAUUAACAUGACAAUGAAAAUCAUUGGACCAAUGAAAGGUGAUUUAGACCUGACCUUUCUUAAUGGGUCACCAUUUCUGUUUCGAGGUGUCGUUCCCGUGUCAAUGAAAAUAUGCAUAAAGUUCACUCUGCUGUGAAUUCAUAGCUUCUCCGAUCCUCAUUCAUGUGUGUCUUUAAGCUUUUAUUCUUCAGUCAAUGCAAAGGAAAGGAGCGAGAACAUUUUUACGCUGCUUUUAUAUCCACAUCUUAAAUUCUCUGUGUCAUAAGAAAGUUACAGCAUUUCUCGAGGAGCACCUCUUCAGACUGUUGAAUUAGCAUACAAACAGAAAGUCCUUUGUGUCAGAUUGUCUGCAAACCAAAUCUUCUAUUACAUGUCUUGUUGCAAAGCACACAAGCUUUUUUUUUUAAGUCGAUACCAACCAUUAACAUCUUAUUCUAUUUUUGAUUUAACCAGAUAACAGCAAUUGAGAUCGAGAUCUCUUUUACAAGGGUGACCUGGCCAAGAGGUCAGCAGCAUACGCCAAUAAUAAUACAAUUCAGAGACAGAACAAGUUCAAACAAACAAAUACCUGUGUAUCUUUUUAAUGUCUGUACUAGUUAAACUGCUCAUUCUGUCUACUCUUGCUUCUUCCUCUGCAAACAGCUUUGUCGCUGCUCUCCCUGCCUUCACCUUUCAUGCAUGCUCAUGCAACAGAUAUGAAAACCUGUUUGAGCAUUUAGGUCAGUCCCUGAUAUCAAGCAUUGAUUUGCACAGAUAUACUGCUUUUUUGUAGUUGGAUGCUGAACCCUCGGAUUUUAGCUCUCAGAACAAAGCCUUAACUAUUUUUAUGCAAACGUCCAAGUUAGACAUUUUUGCUCCUUUAAGUGUAUUUUUUAAGAUUUUUUUAAAAGACAAUGGUUAUUGUUCAUAUUUUAGUAACGUUUUCCCACUGUAACUGAACCUUCCCUCGUCCUUUUCUCUUUUUAUUAUUUUUUAAUCCAUUUUAUUUUUAAAAGUGAACUCUGACGUGAAAGGUGGAAAACCAUCUCAAGUCCUACAUUAAAAAAAGAAAAUUUGGCACAUCUUUGCCUUUUUGGAAUUUUGAAUUAAGGUCUGUACACACCAGGAGCAUUUUUUUUUGUGCAAUUAUUUCGGACGUCAAUAUUUUUUUCGAACCCGUAUCCUGUCAAUACAAGCAUUCACAUCAGCGACGUUUUCCUGUCCCGCAAUAUUGCGGCAUUUCAUUUUUGGUUUAGUUUUGCAUACUGUGUGUCCACUUCUGACCAAUCAGAUUGUGUGUUGUUGUAAUGUCAGAUUCACCAGUAUACCCAACAUGGCCGACCGGCUGAUUGUUGAUGUGUCAGAGAACAGAGUGCUUUUUGAUUAAAAAAAAAUUAAAAUACACAAAUAUUAAGAUAACGACUUAAGGGACAACUUGUCGGAUCUCUCAUAUGACGAUAGUUUGUGUGCUUUAACAGUUUGCUAAACGUCUUUGUUUUAACUUUCAUCUAUGCUAAGUAACUUUAGCUCGUAAGCUAACCUGUUCAGAUACAACAUACCAUAUGUAUUUUCACUGUCUCAAACUCAAUCGUGUUGCUGUCACAGCACCAUUAGGUCUCGGUUGUUACCUUAUGUUUAUGGAUUAUAGUUUAAUGUGUUUAUCUGGUACUGGCCCCGACUCAGUACAUGCUAUCAUGACAGACAGACAUCUCAACACUAGUGUCUAAUCAGAACUGAAAAACAGUCAGUCUGCUGUUGUGUCAGUCUUCUCGCUUUCACCCGGGACGUGUCUUUCUUCCUCCUGGAAAGUUGCAAAAUCGUAUCGCACUUGAUGUGUAUAGUCAGGCGCGUCAAAAUUCACCUCUGGAUAUUUUGGAAUUUCGCGUCAUAUAUUUGCGUCGUUCCCGGUGUGAAAGGACCUUUAAAUGUAAAGUUUCAAUGUUGGUAUAAUGUUUAUAGUGAGUCUAUUUCAACUGAUUUAUCUUUUUAGUUGUAUUUGUAAAUAAAAAAAUAAGCUUUUAGAUAGUUCAAACCCUCUAUACACUCAAGUUUGAUUGGACAAAUUCGUCUUUAAACAAGUGUUAAAAAAAUGUGAAACAUUUGCUUCCACCAUGACAUUUGGUUUGACUUUUCUCUCUCCAUCUUCAUACAUGACAUUCUGUCUCUCCAUAUAUCAGUGCAGUUGCAGCUGUUUAAUGUCUCAGCUGCUUUUAUCACCAUUAUCUUAAAAAAAAGCAUCAUAGCUUUGCUCACUUUUGGAUCAUUUUGUCCUGGACAUGGGCACGUCGACUGUCUGCUGUUGUGCAUUCUAAAGUCUAGACCAUGAACGAAAGAGGAUCCCACUUUUACAGCUAUACUUGAAGGGGAAAAGGUUGUAUAUUUGGGUCAGCACAACACUUUCAAGCCUCCUGAGCAAUUUUUCGUCAAUAAAUGCAGCAGCACCAAUAUCAAAACAUCUCUCAUAGUGUUUCUGAUUCGAGAAAAUUCACUUGGGGCAUCUACAAUCUAGUUAUUUCAGACAACAAGCCUUGAAAUGUGCUGUGGAAAAAGUGCACCACUCCUCUGUUCACCCACAUGUUCCCGUAAUAACAGGAGUCAAUAAAGAAGCAGUCAGUGUGUCUGUAUCAUGAAGGAGUCGUGGUUUUUGUUGCAGAGAAAGACAAGCCAACGGAAAGACUGUCCACGAGAUGGUUCAUAAUGGGUUUUUCAGUUAUGGUGAAGAACAUUAACUCUGAUGUCUUUUCUCUGCCUGUGUCUUCAGAUGCAUCUUUAUGUUUGCAUAUAGAAAGCUCAGGUGUGUUUGAGUGUGCGAGAGAGGAUCCUGAUAAGCUGCAGCAGUGCCGAGGUGUGAAGCUGUGCAUCUUAAUCCGCUCAGGUGAGCGUGUGAUGGAGCGCUAACACUCCGUGAACACUCUGAGAUGAAAACGCGGUGACAUGCUGCUGAGGUGUGUGUUUGAAGACGAGCCAGUGCAAUCUUUGCAUCAGCUCUGCAUCACAUUAUUCUGGAUUAUAAAGCAGAGGGGCUGAGGUUUGUUCCCAGCACAGAGCUCUAUGGAUUCUGCUUCAGCGUCUUUUAUGGAGCUGCUGGUACUGAAGAGCAUCACACCGAGAAGACCAUCAGAUCUGGUUUGGAAGUUUUAGAGGACGAUCAUUUGCAUGGUCGUGUUCACACUGUGCAUACUCCAGAAAUCAAUUUGCUUGUUCUAGUCUAACAUAAUGUGUCUGAUGGUGUUUACUGAUGCAUUUGAUGUUAAUUCUGCAUCUGUACCACUGUGGACUGUCUGUAAAAUAAAGCAAAGUCAAACACAUUACACAAUCAUGUCUUACUCUUGCAAAAUCAGAAAUGCUCUAAAAAAAAAAAAAAAAAAAGGUCCUUUCACACAGGAAGCAUUUUUUUUUUUUUACAUGCGUUUAUUUCGGACGUCAAUAUAUCUUUUUCGAACCCGUAUCCUGUCAAUACAAGCGUUCAAAUCAGUGACAUUUUCCUGUCCUGCGAUGUUGCAUAAUUUUUUUUUUUUGCAUCAUGGUCGAUUUUUCUAAAGUUUCGCAUACUGUGUGUCCACUUUUGACCAACCAGAUUGCGUAUUGUUGCGAUGUCAGAUUCAACGGUAUAUCCAACACGGCCGACCGGCUGAUUGUUUACGUGUUGGAGAACAGAGUGCUUUUUGAUAAAAGACACAAAUAUUACAAAAGGUAACGACCUGAAGGACAACUUGUGGAGUCAUAGCGUCGGAUCUCUUAUAUAACAAUGGUUUGUGUGCUUUAACAGUUUGCUAAACGUUAAAGCACAGCGAAAAUACAUAUGGUAUGUUGUAUCUGAACAGGUUAGCUUACGAGCUAAAGUUACUUAGCACAGAUGAAAGUUAAAACAAAGAUGUUUAGCAAACUGUUAAAGCACACGAACCAUCGUCAUAUGAGAAAUCCAACACUAUGACUCUCCACAAGUUGUCGUUCAGGUCGUUAUCUUUGUAAUAUUUGUGUUUUUUUAUCAAAAAGCACUCCGUUGAUACAUAAACAAUCAGCCGGUCAGCCAUGUUGGAUAUACCGGUGAAUCUGACAUCACAACAACAACAACAACAACAACAACAACAACAACAACAACAACAACAACAACAACAACAAAUCUGAUUGGUCAGAAGUGGACACACAGUAUGCAAAACUUUAGAAAAAUUGUCCAUAAUCCGAAAAAUUAAAUGCCUCAAUAUCGCAGGACAGGAAAACGUCGCUGAUGUGAUCGCUUGUAUUGACAGGAUACGGGUUAAAAAAAAAAAUAUUGACGUCCGAAAUAAUCGCAUGAAAAAAAACGCUCCCAAUAUGCAAGGAAGUGUCCAUUUUUGAACUAUCAGUUCUCUGUUUGGCUUUUCAUGGCGCUGAUAUCUGCAUAAAUUUGGAUCACUACUGGAAUCUAGUUGAUAGAUGGAGUAUAAAAUAGGGACAAGUCUCAAAAGAGAAGUCUUGGUCCUGAUUUGAUUUAGAUCUUUUCUUGCUAUACCGGAAAAAUCAGCCAUGACCCAUAAGUUAUGGAGCUGCCAAAUAAUAGCCAAUACUUUUUCAAGUUUUUGGAUAUACAGCUACAUUUAUUAUGCAACCUCUGCUGUGUGUAACAUCACAGUAGAACAAUAUCUUUUCUCCAGCAGACAAUCUGAUUAUAGCAGCACAUCUACAGAGUUGUAUUUUGAAGCUGUUGAAUUUGUUGAGUCAGGAUUGGGAGCCUCAGAAGGACCUAAUGUCCAUUAAAAAAAAAAAGAUGCGGCUUUAAAUUUAUUUACUUAUUCAUUUAUUUUGCUCUUUUUAAAGUCUCUGAUUCAGAUGCAGCUCCAUGCCGCCCUCCACCCUGAGCUGAUUGAGUUCUCUGAGAGUCUCCCAAAGCUGCCAAAUUAAUACAGGAGGACGGAAAUGCAUUAAAGGUAGAAAUUACAUUUCUAUUCAUGAAGCAGCAUCUCCACAGCUGAAUGUGAAUGUGAGUCUGAAGAGUCUCUGCUCAGCUUCAGAUGGUCAGUAGAUGCAAAGUUGAAGAAAUUAAGUGUGGUAAACUUUUCUGCAUCUUUUAUAGAAUUUUGAUCAAAAAUGAAGACAGUGGGAUUUGACUGGAGACAUACUGAACUGUGCAUGUGUUUGUAAGAAUCUGUUCUGCUGUGGACUGGACCCACCUGUGGAAGCUUUGAAGACUUAACAAGUUUAGCGUGGGUUUGUUUCGAGGUGUUUAGCGCUAAUUACCCACAUCCAAAUGAGAAAGACGGACCUCCAAUUAACUCAGAAGUCAGUCCAGAAUUUUUUAGAGUGCCUUUAAUGAACACUACUUGAACUCCAGAAUUCCUGAGAUGUCAGCGGAGAUCUCUUGGAUUCAUUAUUUUAAUUUUCUGACCCCUUCAAAACGAUGCAUGCUGAAAUUUUAAUGUGUUUGGGAUAAAUAAAUGAUGUGUUGGACAUCCAGGGCUGCAAACUCACAUCCCCUUAUUGGAAAAUUAGAGAGAAAAUUAUGGUGCUUUUGACGUCAGAAUCAAAUGUUUGCAGGAGAAAGGGGGGAGAAAAAGGUUACUCUAACUCUCAUGUUCAAUUAUUAAUCCAGGCUGUUGUUUAAACUCAACGGUGUCUUCUUCUGGUUUCAGAGCAUUGGCACAGAGACCCUUCAAAAGGCCCUCUGCCUCUCUCCUCCUCCUCCUCCUGCUCAAACUCUCUUUGAGGAAAAGCUCCCUCAUUGAUAUAACAUGAGCAGAGGACCCCCGCUGUUAGCCAUCACAGGUGUCACGGACAGGAGCGUAGUGGGAUUUCUGGAUUCAUGUCAGUACGGCACAAUGACGGCAGCUUCAAACACCUGUUCAUAUCCGGCCUGAGCGGACUUAUCAAGUCCCUAUUAAAACGCAGUCACUGGCGAUAAGCUCUGUUUUUGCUGCCUUGUUUGAUAUUUGCAUUUCAAAAAGAAGGCCGAGCACGAGCAGAAAGCGAAGUCAGAGCUACAGUCAGUGUUCCAAAAAAUGGAAAUCUGGUUCAAACCGAAAACAACCCUUUCGUUUGCUGCUUAAACUCUGCUGACUCUUCAAAAAUCAAACAAACAGUUACUCCCCCCUUUUGUUUCAUCUCUUUUUUUUUAUAAAACAAGAGAGAGGAGAAAUGAUGGCGCAGACGGGGGAAACCACAGAAAAAGGUCAAUCUGAAUACCAAAUAGGAAAUGCUGACUCCAGCUAGCUGUUUGUGGACCUAGAAAGAGGUAACAAGCUCCAGUUGAGGGCCCCACUGUCGCCAAGUCAGCCAUGCCUAUGACUAUGACUACAGUAAUAUUUAUAAUCUAAUUUACAAUGGGAAAAAAUUAAACCAAACCUGUUUUUCUAAUCAGGUUGCAAACUUGUUUGAAGCUUUGGUCUACGAUCUGAAAACCAGUUUGGCUGUUGAGACAGAUUUGAAAAACACAGCCUGCCCUCCCUUCACUCACCCCUCCCCUCCGUGUUCCAAGAAACCCCCUUUCUUUCUGAUCUUUAUAUUGCGUAGAUCGGACCAUAGGACCAUAACGGCCUUAUAAAUGGUGUUAUUAUGAAGUACCAAGUGUGGCGUGUGGUGUAUUUUGAGGACCCAGAAGCAGACAGCAAAUUAAGAUGUAAUUUUAAUGUCCAAACUCAGGGGUAAAGGCAAAAGAGAAAAUCUGGUUGGCUGACUGGCUGUUGUGUGGGCCAGAGACAUUGCGGAGAAAACAGAGGAGAUGGAAGUGAGUAGACAUACAAUGAAUCACAGGGAGCAAAGUUGCAAGCACUUAUUCAAAAGAAAGGCCAGAAGACACGUCUGUAUUACUCGGGAGUGAAGACAAUACUGAGGCGCUGAGACUGAGGGCUGCUGGCUUCUUAAAGUGCCUUGAUUGCAGAUUCAGCGCAGGUGUGGAGUCUCACUCAGCCUCAGCGACGGGGAGGGGGAGGGUGCUCUGGAAAAGAGUCAAGCCAGACCAGGAAAACGAAGAAAAAUAAGAAGUAGGUCACUUUUUCUUUUAUUUUUAGUAUUAUUUUUUGCCCUUGUCUUUACAGUUUUUUUUUUUUAUAACUUUCUCUUUUUUUUUAAAUAUAUAUUUUUUACUCUUUUACAAUUGUUUUCUCUACUUUUUCUUACUUUAUUUUCUUCUAACUUUUUAUUUUAUUUGUCUUUAUGCAGAUUGUUGAAAAAUCCAUAUCUUACAUUUUACUCCCUUUCUUUUUCAUAUAAAAAAAAAUGUAUAUUUAUCUUUUUGUCUGCAUUUUAUGAUUAUCUAGUUUUCUUUUACUUUCCUCUUGUUUUUUUUUAUUUCUUCUUUUAUUCCAGUUUCUCAAUUACCUCCACUGGAGUGCAUUCAUACUUUUUUUUUAAAUCUUUUCUCAGGAAAACAGACAUGAAAGUCUUCAGGUGAUUAUGCAGAGAGUAACUGAAGCUGUGCAAAUAAACCUGAGCAGUCAGAGGGAUGAAUAAACUCACUGGUCAGACUACAAACAGGCUGGAAAUGGGUUCUUUGGGUGUCUCAGUGUUUGCACGAGAGCUUUUGAUUUCGUGGAACCAUAAGAACCUUUUAUAUCUGCAUAGCAUAAAUAAUUUGGCCUCCAAUUCCUUUAGACAUGACUGUUUGCAGUGAGAUUAACAGAAUAUCUGAGCCUGACUUCAGAUUUACCCCGCAGGCACUGAAUUAAUUGCGGUAAUUCAAAGGGCAGUAAUUUGCUGCUAAGACUGGAGAUUUACCAGUUUUAAAUGGUUUACAAUCUCAUUUUUCAUUUAUAAUAAAGUGUUUUAUCAAACAGAUCAUUUCUUAUUCAGUCCAACGUAUGAGUAACUUGUGUAUUUCCAUUUAAUUCCACUGUGAAUUUUCACUGUUUGGAUGUUUCCCUGCUCCAACACACCUGAUUCAAAUGAUCAGCUCGUUAUUAAGCCAUCACAGAGCUUGAUAACGAGCUGAUCAUUUGAAUCAGGUGUGUUGGAGCAGGGAAACAUCCAAAACAUGCAGGACCACUGGAACACUGGACUAAGGUAAAAUUCCAGCCUAUAGGAGGGUAAUUUGAUAAGUUCACAGUGUACAUAGGUGUGGUUUGUCUGUGGAAACCUGAUGACCUCAUUUAACUCACCUGUGUCUGUCUGCACACCUGCUCUUCAUUAACUCAGCAGUAUAAAUACUCUGCAGCUGCAGCCUCCUGUAACUCAGCUUUUGGGGCAGACGUUUGCUUCAACAGUCUUUGUAUACCUGGUGUUUUAACUAGGGUGACCAUACGUCCUCUUUUACCCGGAUAUGUCCUCUUUUAUUUAUCUGGGGAAGUUUAUAAAAUCCUUCAAAUGUCAGGAGUUUUGUAGGGAAGUUUUGAGUUUGUGUAGGCUGGACUGAGUUAGAAGCGUGUAAAAAAAUACACUCAACCCGACCCGAAAAACCCUCAAAAUUCUGGUCACUCUAUUUUAAAUGCUCUUGUUUAAUAUGUCUAAUACAGCAUUUCUAUCUGCCUGUCUCCUUUUAAAAGAAUGAACUAUUUCAAUACAUUUUUGGUCCCUAUAUCCUCAUACAGAAGCUUUUAAAACAGCUCAGAUCCUUGUAAAAAUGGUAGACCCUACUGUUGCUUUAUGGAUAUUGAGUCGAUUAGAAAGCAAAUUCAGACAGUGGUGGUGUGGAAAUUCAGCUUAAGUGAAUAAACACCCUUGAAGAAGUGUAUCAUUGGAUUAAGGUGGAUACUAAAUCAUUACAUGAAUUAGUAAUUCUCUGUGUAAAUUCUGGACUUUGUCACAUAAAGAGAAGUGUGUGUGCCUUUAGACUCCAUGUACUCCCUGUUUUAAUCCUCCAAUCGUUCAUAGAUCUCCCCUCUCUGCUCAUCUAUAAUUCAGAGCAAGUGCGCUCCCUGACACCACGCAAUUAAUUAGUCUUUUUGUUCAUUAAAGGCUCAGCUUUUAGAAGACCAUCAUGUUUUAUUUUAGUUUUAAUUACUUUGUGCUUUGGCAGCUUUCUAUUUCCAAGAUUUAUGUUCCUCAGGUCCCGACCACCAUCCAAUUAGAGGCAGAUCUGUGUGUUUAUGAGGAGGGGAGAGGAGCAGCGAGUGUGGCGUUCAAAGACUGUGACUCCCGUUCGCUUCACAUGUGAUGUAAUGAGAUUAGCAUAGUCUUUGAAAUGAUCGUCAGUUCCUGCGGGUCAAUUGAUUUGCCAUUCAGUUUUAAAGCACCCAGAGGCUCGUAAUGUGUGAGUGUGAGCACACACGCCGUUAGAUCUGUGUGCAGUCUGCAGGGAGGCUGUUGGCAACAAUCAGACAGAGUUAGACAAAGAGAUAAAAACCCACAUUAUCGUCACUCUGAUGAAUCAAACCACAAAUAAUAGUCCUCAGACAGAUUGUUAUGUUUUAAUGGAGAUUAUGGGAACUAAGGGCUGCUGGAAUUUUUAAAAAAGACACAAAAAAAGAUUAUAAAACUCUGCCAAAAACAUCAGCCUGGUGUUCUCAGACUCCUUAAAUCUUAAUUUUGAAAAAAGUAAAACAUCAACUUUGAAACAUUUUCAUCAAAAGCAUUUCGAAGUGUCUGCUGUCUGUUUUUAAAGUCCCAUUUAACAGGACAGAUCCUCCCUUAACCAAUGUUUUUAAGUCAAUCUGGACCCAGUUUAACUUAAAAGAAGAGUCGGGGGCCAUUUUAAGGUACGAUUAGAUUAGAUUUGACAGGGUUAGGGUAAGUGUUUAUUAAUCCUUUUGGGAAGGUUUCCUCAAAGUUCAGGUACCCUUAUAAAAUUUGAGGGGCUUUUAAGCAACAAAUCUCAGGUAUGCUUUUAAGGUUGUUUUGCAAAAGUGGUUGGAUCAUUUUAACAGUUUUUUCUUGAGUUUUUGCCUGUGUAUUAGGAUAAACAUUAUGAAUGUUUCAAACUGUCAUUUGGACACUAUUUUAAUUUACUAUUUUCCCAGCAACAAAGUGAAGUUCUGUUUUCAGCAUUUUGAGACACCCUCAACAGUUUCUCUAGAGGUACACUUCUGAAACUCAGUUUGGACUGCUUUGAAGUACUGUUUGCAGUAAAUUUUGAGGUACCACCAAGGUACCCUUCAAAAACGAGAGCUGGGGAUACACUUACCCCCAAUUUCUACCGCAUGUGGAAUGCCAGCGGAAAAGCUGUCGGCAUCAACCGCAGCUGAUCGUUUCCAUUCAAGUUAAUGUGUCAAUUUCCACCUGCUUCUAUCCAGCCCCCUGCGGUUCAGCGGGCUUCGUAGCCAAUCGCCAGGUUUCUACUUUAUCCGGACACUACAGCAUGCUGCAUAAAUUUAGCACAGAUUAACCCGUAUUGUAAAGGAAGUCAAGCACAGAUGCAAAAUAAAACAUUCGGCUUCUUGGGCGGGGACGAACAAGUCAAAGGUUUUCAGACUUCAUGUCUAGUCUAGAAGUGGAUUUCCUCCUCUGGAAGGACACAAUCUACUACUUAUGUGGUUAUGUGGCUGUUUUUAUAAAGACAACUCAUUAUUGUGCAAUUGCAUUUGAAUCUGAAGGUUCUUAUGAGUUCUCGCGAUUCCUGCUGUCCAAAAUCCGCAAAAGAAAUUCGCCUCACAAACACAUCUGGUAGGAAUUGGCGGAUGGCGAAAAUCACUACCAUUCCACAGCUAAGCCGUUUCGUAUGCAGUGAAAAUUUGGGGGUUGGGCAGAUUAUAAGUACUCUUAAGUCUGGUUUUAGAUACUCUGCAUGAAACUCAUGGAGCUAUGAACAUUUCUUUUUGGGGUCAGUAUGAAGCAGUUAUAAGCAAAGUCUUUUUAGUAACCCCAUGGUGACUGCUCAAAAGUUCAGUUUGCAAACAGUUGAAGGUCUCCUGAUGUUGUUACCUUUGGUGUUUGUUCAAUGAUAUCCACGGUUUUGAUUUUAAGGUACCCUAGGGCCUCUGUUUUUGAUUAGAAAAUUAUGAGGUACCGUCCAGCACCUGUUUUUCAAGUACCUGUUAGAUCAUUGUCGAAUUCCCUCAUCUCAUACGGUCAUUAAUUGGUCAUCCCUUUGUGAGAUCAUUAAAAGAAUCUCAGAAAAAAAGAUCAUGACAGGCUUCUGAACAAAGAGAAGAGUCUGACACAUUUAAUUAAAGCAUUUCUAAAACUGACGGCACAUUUCUUUCAAACUCCCUCUCGUAGAACAAAUGUUGCUCUAUUUUCACUCCCACAUCCCGCUGAAAUAAUUCCCUUGUUGUUUUGGACUGUGCUUGUUUUUAAGGGCCAGUUAAUACUUCAUAAAAACAGUGUGAAGCCAAACCCGUGGCCUUUCAGUGACUGUCUGCACUUGUUAUGUAUUAAAGGAGAUUUCACAGUCUCAACCCACUCAAGGAAUUAAAAAUAACAUGCAGCCUUUUGAAAAAUUCACCUUUGCUGCUGGAAAUGAGCUGCGUUUUCCAGCUGUGAAGAGGAUGGCAAUCCAGACCUAACAGGAUCCAAACCUGAAAUUUCCGCAUAAAGGUUUCCAGCAUGCCUUCUGUUUAUCGUCCCCUCAGCAGCUCUUUUUGCCUAACAUGGCGUAAACGUCCCGCUCCGCCGCCUCUCGCCCUCGUUACUUGAACCUAAAGUGUCACUUAACUCGACUCUCAAAGCUGCUCAGGUGUCUCUAUCAAAGAGGGACGGCUCCUGAAUACAAGGGACCACUUUUAAUUAUUCCUGCAGUCAUUAAGGCUUGAUGAACUUCAGAGCGAGCUCCACUAAACAUCUGUGUCCCGGUGGUGAAGAGACCGAGUGGCCAUGUUUGACUAGUCCCCCUGGAGGGCUGAGUGAAGCCAGAAUACAACUGGAGUCAGAGAGUAACAAGAGCCUGAAAGAGGGCAGACAGGAUGAAUUCGACUUUUUCAAACAUGCAAGAGAUCCUCAGAAACAUAAACUGUAUUUGAAGGAAGAUGUAUGUCUCUGUGCAGGGGCGACUUAUCUUGUACAAGGCGCUCAGUUUGACAGGUAUUAUCUAUCUGUCUGUCUGAACUGUUCAGACCCAAGGGUACAAAAUCCACAAUUCACCACUUCCUCUCCUGACUCUACUGAGUUUAUUGAUACUUCUCAAGACAAGGUUACUGUUUUUUCCUCUCUCAGAGUUAGGUAGAAACCAGAGUCCUUAACUGUUGUUUACAAGCUUAUCUUUCAUUGUGCAAUAACAUUUGAAGAGUAUUCUAUAGGUGAACUUUUCUGUUUGAGAAGGCAGCGAGCUGCAAAAGAUGUCCAAGUUUCUAGUCCCAUCCUGGCUCAGGGUUUGGGAUCCAAUGUUCUGAGGCUCAGCAUGUUUCCUUCUGAUCUCCAACUGAAAGAUUUCUAAAGGAGCCAAGGUCAAGAACAGAUUGCAGUUAUUGUCCCAAAUGAUGCCAAAAGUUAAUGAGUGUUAAAAACUUCUCAAAAAGGCAGAAAAAGGUGAAGCUGAAAUUGUGUUAAAUGAGUGUUGAGAAGGCAGUACGUCCAUAACUAACGGUGCGUUCCAGUUGUACUUGGAAGUCGGGUCAAGAAAUUCAUCUGGAACGCUCCUUUUGAAGUCGGAUUUUGGACUCGGAAAGUUGAACCAUCCUCACCACCCCUGACUUGAUGACAACGUCAUAAUCCAAGAUGGCAGCGCAGUGCAUCAACAGUAAAGAGUAACAGUGAAAGUUCUCGUAAUGUAUUAUUUAUUAGCACUUCUGUUUUGUUUUUGUGAAGUUAAAUAAGUGUUAUAUGUUUUACUUCCCAACAUCUAACUGUGAACACAGUGCUAUGGUGUUUGUAAGGGUAAAAUACUGUCGUAUAUGUUGUUUACAACUGGUAUCGCUAACAACAGCUAACUACAGCUAAGAAUAGAAUAGAAUAGAAUAGAAUAGAAUAUUCCUUUAUUGAUCCCCCAUGGGGGAAAUUUUUUUUUUGUCACAGCAGCAUCACAGACAGAGUGCAAAAAUGCAGUUAUAAAAAUAAAGAUCCUAAUAUUAAGAACUUAAAUAAAUGUAAUAAUUAAGAAAAAAUUUAGAAAAAGGAAAAAGGGAGAAGAAAAAUAAAACUAUCUACAAUAUACACAAUUUAAAUGCCAGAAAAAAAUGGUGGUGUAAAUCCAGUUAUUAUUACAGUUCGUUGUAAAGUCUUAUUGCAGAGGGGAGGAAUGACCUGCGGUAGCGCUCCGUCUUGCAAGGUGGAAGUCUCAGUCUGCUGCUGAAGGAGCUGCUUAAAGCCCCCACAGUCUGGUGCAGUGGGUGAGAGGGAUUGUCCAUGAUGGAUACAAGCUUUGUUAACAUCCUCCUCUCACCCACCUCCUCCAGGGAGUCCAAAGAACAGUCCAGGACAGAACUGACCCUCCUGACCAGUCUAUUCAGUCUCUUCCUGUCCCUCUCACCCACUGUCCCUCUCGGUGCUCCCUGCCCCCCAGCAGACCACUGCAUAGAAAAGUGCAGAUGCUACCAACUACGGCUAACAGUAGGCGUCCAUUUUGGUUUUUCGACUUGUUUACUGGAACGCUGUCAACUCGGGUGGAACGCAAUUCCCAGCUCAGACAUCUGACUUCAGAGGUAACUGGAACGCAGUAUGAGACCCACAACUAGGCAGGAUGCAGACUGGAACCCAGAACGUUAAAAAUGGUCCCACGUGACGAGUUGUCUUUUCUUCUUCUAGGCACUGCAGACCUCAAAACAGUAUUUUACAAAUGCUCCUGCAACAAAGACACAGACUUCCUCGACAUUAUUUCACCUCACAUGUAUUUGCCAUAAUCCUCUCAUUGGUUUGUACUCACCACUCUACUGAGGAAUGCUUUUACACAUGGGUGGGUGGGUGUUGUUCUUCAGUGGUCUAUCCUUACUAAGUUAUGCUGCCAACUAUAGGCUUUGCAUGGAAACUUCAGUGGAUGGGGGUCAUUCUCACAACAAUGUCCUCUUCUUAUUUUUGCAGAUUUUUCUUAAACACAAAGAAAAGACUUUUCCUUUUCCAAUGAAUGAGUCACUCAAAACCAAACUAUGUUGAAGUUGUUGAAUUCUUCUCAAAUUGCUCACCAAAUGUCGAAGUCUUUAUUCCAAAGUUUGCCAUGCAGGAAAUCUGUUGGUUACAAGUUAAUUCCAAUGGCUGUCCUUCUUCACAUUCACAAUAAAUCAUCAUACUGGAACAAAAUAAAAAAAAAUAAAUAAAACGGGCCUGAAAAGCGAGAAGUAAUACAGUGAAAACAGAUGGUUGUUGUUCUGGGUUAAAUCCUCCACAGUUUGUCUCCAUUUAUCAAAACUGGCAACUUUUCAGAGAUUCAAACCAUCAUAUUUCAAGAAAGUACAAAUUAAACUGGUGUUGGAUCAAAUUUACAGUCUGAACUGGCCUGAACAUUUGUCUCUGGGGACUGCACGAUCCCAAGAGUUACUAAAUUCUGUUAGCAAAGUUUAAAAAGAGAUAUCUUCUCUCUUUUAGCCCCGCGUGAACAGCGAGAGGAGUUUUCAUACCAAACUGAGACUGAACAGAGUGUGUUGGUAAUGAUUUCAGUCCUGAGCUGAAUUUUCCUGCAUUCAGAUCAAAGCAGCUCCUCCAAUCACAGCUCUUUGAAACCAUCAAAGACGCACAAUUAAAAUGGAGCAAACUUUGUGUUGUUUGUGUGUGUGUGUGCGUUUCUUUUCUUUUGUCAUCAGGCCUCAGAUCUGAUAUCUAUGUGGUGGGGAAACAUGUGGGAUGGUCAGAGAGAGAGAGAGAGGGAGGGAUGAAAGCAGGAGACACAUCUGGUCAUCUGCAGAGUUACGCCUCCCUAAGGAGCUCCUCCGAGCAGCUCCUCCAGCUCUUGCUACCCCUCUCUUAAUUAGACAGGUAGUCUGAGAGGCUCAUUUGCAGGUCAGAUUCACUGGAACUUGUUUGAUCCACGACGGCCUGCAAUGUCAGGAUACAGAAAUGAAACACCUCCAUGCAAAACAGGCCGAAAUUGGAGGUUUUGCUCAUUAAUUUUGGCUGGAUGAGGCGUAGGUCGUGUCAGAGGGGAUUGUUAAAUAUUUCCCUGAAUAUAAAUCAGCUCCGACUCUCCUGAAGCUUUGACUCUCUGCACAGUUUUGUUUGUCAGAUAAAGCAGAGUAUGAUAUCACAGCGUCUUGCCUGCGCUUUCAUUAGUAUGCCAUCAAAGCAGCGUGGACACAAGGCCACAGUCAGGCUGAAUAAUAAUCGCAGCGAGGCGCUUUCAUGCAAACAGGGCGCAAAGAAGCUAUAAUGCUGUGCAAACAUGCCAAAGGUGUCAUCAGGCCUACUGCACAUCUUCUGUACAGUUAAUUGAAAGUAAGACCUCUCCUGCAUGGCAAACACCUCUUUGUGUGCACACUGUUAUUAACGCACAUCUUCAUCCUCUCAGGCAGACAGAAAACAGCUUUACUGCUGCAUAUGCUGAAAAUAUUUGGUGUAAUUUAGAUUUUUAAAAAAGCGCUUUCUCUGGUCUGAUAAAAUCAAAUGUUAUCAGGAGAUUGAAGGCUUUUCUCGUGCAAGCAAUGACGUUAAAUAAACACUGUGUCUAUUAAGAGGGCCGUCCUCUAUCAGCCACAUGCAGAAGAGGGUAAACAAGAGAGCUCUUAAACUUUUAUCUGAUUUUCAUUUCAACACAAUUCACUCCCAAUUAUGCGCAGAGACGUUUUUAGAUCCAUAAUUUAGAGAUUUAUCUGCAGUGUGUCCAUGAAUUAAAUCCAGUUUUAUUCUAAAAGCAUUCGAGGCUGUAAAAAGCACUGCAACGUGUCACAAACAAGUUAUUCAUCACUUCUUUUGGAACAAAAUAUACUGAAUUUGUCCAUAUUUCCUCACUAAUCCUUUAAUCUUCUUUUUCCACAACUAUCACAGUCCCCAGUCUUGAAAAAUCACUUGCAGUCAAAUGCAUCUAUAAAUCUACCUGUAAAACGACUAUAAAUUUACAAGAUCCCGCAAAAGCAAGCCUUAUGUACUGCCAAUAAGACUGAGUAUCAAACUCUCAUGUUAUGAAAUUUAAUGACUUGUUUUAUCACAAAGCAACACAAAUAACGUUGAGAGCAAAAUCAAAAUCCCUUACUGACUCUGUGCGAAAGUCCGUUCAGUUGAGGUCAGGCGUCUGAGUGUGCACUACAAAAGCUAAAAAGGGAUUAAAUGAAGAUGUGUUCUGGUUGGGGAUAAAUUCAGGAAUGAUGAUGUUGGAUUAAAUAUCUUUUAGUUUUCAAACAAAUACCGAACAAAUACUACGACUGCUAUUCAUGCCGCUUUCGAAUGUGACGCUUCCCUAAAUCCCUAAGUCUGGACCUGCUGACUUUAGUUCAGCUGUGACUAUUUGACUUUUUUAUUUACAGUAAAAAGUUGUUCUGGUUGCUGUAAAUGUCAUGAUCUUGAUCAUCUUGACUCUUGAUGGUGGAAUGGUCUCUUACAGGACUCAAAUUUAGCCCGAAUUUUCUUACCUUUAAAGUCGGGCGUCUCAUCUAUAUUUCAUGUUUUACUGGUCAAACGUUCCUGCUAAUGAGAUAAACCCAUAGACUGUAUAUAGAUUGGAUGCCGUUUGCCUCCAUGCUGAUGGAAGCCACCAUGAGAACAGCACCCUGUGGUGACUGGCUGCAGUGUAAGUCAUUAAUCCCGCCUCCUCCAGCAAUCCCUAUGGAGCUGUGGACAAACUUUAGAAAUGUAUUACACAGAAUAUAAUUUCUUCUCCCCUCUGCUUGCGAUGUUAACAUGUAGUUACUGUAAAGGUCCUCACACACCGGGACUGUUUUUUCCUGCGAUUAUUUCGGACGUCAAUAUAUUUUUUCAAACCCGUAUCCUGUCAAUACAAGCGUUCACAUCAGCGACGUUUUCCAUCCUGCGAUAUUGCAGCAUUUAUUUUUUCAUAUCACAUAUGUCUAAUUUUCUAAAGUUUGGUCAGAAGUGGACACACAGUAUGCAAUCAGAUUUUGUGUUGUUGCAACGUCUGAUUCACCAGUAUAUCCAACAUGGCAGACCAGCUGAUUGUUUACAUGUCAGAGAACAGAGUGCUUUUUGAUAAAAGACACAAACAUUACAAAGAUAACGACCCGAAGGACAACUUGUGGAGAGUCAUAGUGUCGGAUUUCUCAUAUGACGAUGUUUUGUGCGCUUUAACAGUUUGCUAAACGUCUUUGUUUUAACUUUCAUCUGUGCUAAGUAACUUUAGCUCUUAAUCUAACCUGUUCAGAUACAACAUACCAUAUGUAUUUUCACUGUCUCAAACUCAAUCGCGUUCCACCAGGGACGCACCUUUUUUCCCCAGGAAAGUCGCUAAAUCGCAUCGGGCUGGAUGUGUAUAGUCAGGUGCGUCAAAAUUCGCCUCUGAAUAUUUCGUAAUGUUGCGUUGUAUAUUUGCGUCGUUCCCGGUGUGUAAGGAACUUAAGUCUGGUUUGUGCUUAAGUCCUCUUUUUUUCUUUGAAGCUCCAUUUUUAAAAGUUAUUAGGGGGUUCACGUUUCCUCUGAUUGACACUUGAUACAGCCUAUGGGUGUACGAUGAUUGCGUAGCUCACCCGGGAAUACGCUGUUUGAGCCAAGUGUCACCACAGGGACUCUCAGCGACUCUCCCACCGAAUGCGUACAACGCUAUUGUGGAAGUGGUGGUUCGGCUUCAAAUUUGUACAAUGACGGAAGGUGGCACCAACUUGUCCAAAGUAUAUACAAUCUAUGGGUAAAACAAUCUUAAAAAUAGCGCUCAGUCUACAUGUGCCCACUCUCAAUGAGUUACGGCGACUUGUUGGACAACUAUUCUCGUCCUUUUUCUUAGCCUUGGAUCGUUGACUCAGACUUGUAAUUUGUAACUCACCUGGUUUCUGUUAGCUCUCUGAAAGCGCAGAAAUAAUGAGUUUCUGCAGAAAUAAAAAAGAACAGAAAAGGUUGCAUAAAAGGCUGACACAGCUGAGAACACACAGAAAACCCUGACAAACUUCAUCAACACAGAAUGAAAAUAAAUCCUAAACAAACGAAGGAAAAAAAAUCCAACUGCACAUUUCCUGUCGAGCAUCAAAAGUGCUCUCUGUAACCUCUCUUCAAUAAAGCUAUUCAUCAGUGUCAGGGCUGUGCUCCGGUCCCUGUCAACACCGCUUCACCUUCACAAGAUAAAAGAUGCUCGUUUUCUCUGUCAUUGUCUCGCUAUUGAACGCAGCCCGCUCCCUCCAUGGGUCGACCUUGGCCUGCUGCAGCCUACCUGAGGUCAGCCUAUCAUCACACAGCCAGGACGUUUAGCCAGUCUAGGAAAACACUCUCCACUGCCUGAACGCUGGAGUCCAGAGAUAACACCAGAAAACGCUAAAUGAGCUGCUUUCUUUCUGCAGACAUGUACCUGACUUCAGCUCAAUCAAUCAGAGCUGUGAGGGACUUUAAGCCGCAGCUAUAUCACUAAUCCGCAGCUACAAGCGCCGCAGCAUUAAGAUGAAUCUGCUGCAAAUUGGAUGUUGCAGAGGGGACAAUGCUAUCUGCGCUCCAGGGUUAGAUUGCUUCUCAACUGUUCCUCAUUAGAGCACAAUCGCUUCGGGCUUCUCACCGGACAGGCAGGCUAUACGAUGCUGUUAAGACUAGAGGAUCCACGGGGCAGAAAUUAGAGGCCGUUCACCAGCUAACACUCUGAAACACAUUAGCGGGAGACAAGCACAGUGAGACAGAAGGACCUGCUGAGCGGCUAAAAGCAAACAAGACACUUUAAAGUGGGAGCGAGUGGCUUUGUUUGUUCCUCUCUAAAACACCAGUGAAUUCUUUUAGAGGUCUAAAUGCUCUAAUAGAUAGAAAGACAGCGGCAAAGUAACACAAACUAACAUUAAAUUCUGUGGAAACUAGUUUGAUCAAAAGUUCUGGCAAUGAAGAAAAUAGGAAAACAGCAGCUUAACAGGUUUUUUAGCUGAGCGGGCUGUGAUGGAUCAAAGGCGAUUUGAUUAUAUGAACUGCAGGCUAUGGCUGGAAUAACAUCCCAAAACAUCAUCUUAAAUCAGUUUAUCAUCUACUCACUGAAAAGAUGUCAACUAUUUUUGUAUAGCUCCAGCCUGCAGCCACAAAACAGGCUGCAAAGGCUGCCAAAUAAAGUCCAACAAGAACACAAACCAACUCACAAGUAGAGGUAUACCAGCAACUCUUGUGCCCUGUGAGGUUUUUAUUGUGUGACAUUACAAAUUAUUGUACAAGGAUGUAUUCUGUUACCUUUAAAAGUGGUCUCAAUUUCAAUUUCUACAAAUAAAGGCAGAGGUAGACCAGCAACUCCCAUGUCCUGUAGGGUGCUUAAGCUCUGCUUGGACUGUUUCUAUGUUUUUGUUAAACAUAACUUUGAAAAUUAUUGUACUAACAGUUAUUCUGUUACUUUUAAUAGUGGUUUAAAUUUCCACAUAUAAAAGCAGAAGUAGAUCAGCAACUCCCAAGUCCUGCUUGGACUGUUAUGUUUUUGGAUGACAAAAAUUUGCAAAUUGAUUUACAAAGACUUAUUAUUUAAGCUUUGAAAUGGUAUUUAUUUUUACUUACAAACUCACGUCAAAGCAGAGGUAGACCAGCAACUCCUGUGUUCUUGGGCUUAAUUACCGGGUUUUGUCCCAUUUGGAUGGUUUAAUAUCUUUUUCUGUUAUCCUGUCAGCUUUGAUCAGGACUUUUAUAUGAAACGAAACAAACCAACCAACUAAUCGAAGCAACUAGACCAGCAACUCCUGUGUUCUCUUGAGUUCCUGUUUUUGUCAAUGAAGUUUUGUCUCUUUGAAGACAAUUAUGCUAUCUCUAUUUCUCAACAAAAUCAACAUGAAGAGUCUAAAAAGGGUCUACCAAUGAGACACUGGGAGUUGUUUCAAAUGUUUCGAGAAGUGAUUGCCAAAAUCCCCAACCAUCAAACCCCAAAUAAAAUUGUAAGACAGUGGUGACCCCUGAUGUACUUUUAGAAACUAUAUUUGUAUCUAUAUUUUCAUAACAAUAAAGAAAAAUUACAAUUUUAAAUAAUUUUGAAACCCCCUCUUUAUUUUCAUUUUUUAAGACACUGUGAUGCCUCUCCUUCCCACGUCAGUGUCUUGUCUUCUUUUAAACACAUCCAUCACUGACAUAAGCAUAAAGAAUAGAAAACCCAUCAAGGCAGCGAUACACCGACAACUCCUAUAUCCUUUAAGGUAGAAGAUGAUCUGAUGUUAAUGUAAUGCAGUGUCAUAAAAAGUGGUGGAACAGCUGUUUCUGUUUUUUUUUUUGUUUUUUUUCUUAAAUCCUCUUAAAUCACCAAAAGCUCAAUUUCUGAAGGGAUCCUUUCUGAAAUACCAUCGAACUCCUGAGAUAAUAAUCUUAACCCUUUGAUGCGCAACAUAUCCACACCCCCUCUAAUGCGCAACAUGGGUCUAAAAAGACCCGCAUUCAUUUCCAAUGGUAUUUCAUGCUGGCUGAGUUUUUCUUUGUUCUAUCUUUUGAAAUAAGUUUAUUUUCUGAUUGAAUAUUCCAAGUAUUCUUUAAAUAUCUUGUUUUUGAUCACCACUGAUUAUUAUUUCUAUUUUUCUUUUCAUACUUUUUGAAAUAAUAUAGUUUCUAUAUUAUUACAUCAAGUUUACACACAUGGGUCAAAAACGACCCAUUCAUCCAAGUGUGAUUUAAUAUUGAAUUACCUAACACUAUAAUAAUAAUUUGUUUCAAGUAAUGAAAUUAGCAGAGAGUGGGGCCAAACCAUAGACUGUAUAUACUAUGGACAACUUGGUUCCGUCUACCGCCUGUGUACCGAUUGGAGCCAAAAAGCUCUCGGUAUUUCCGGGACUUUUCUACAUUUCUGAAACCAGAGCUGCGCAGUUGCGAUGCGUGCAUUCGGCCGCGCAGUCGCUGAGAGUCGCUGUGAUGACGCUCGGCUCAAACAGCGUAUCCCCGGAGAGCUACGCAAUCCCUGAACGCCCAUAGGCUGUAUCCAUAGACUGUAUAUACUAUGGACAACUUCAUUCCGCCUACUGCCUGUAUACAGAUUUGAAGCCAAAUAGCUCUCGAUAUUUCCAGGAUUUUUCUUCAUUUCCUGAAACCAGCGCUGCGCAGUAGCAAUGCGCGCAUUUGGCCGCACAGUUGAAGAGAGUCGCUGUGAUGACACUCGGCUCAAACAGCAUAUCCCCCGGGAGAGCUACGCAAUCCCUGAACGCCCAUAGGCUGUAUCAGGUGUCAAUCAUAGAAAACAUGAACCCCUAAUAACUUUUAAAAAUGGAGCUUCACAGAAAAAAGAGGACUUGAGCACAAACCAGUCUUACAAUAACUACAUGUCAACAUCACAAUCAGGAGGGAGAAAAAUGUAUAUUCUGUGUAAUAAAUUUCUAAAGUUUGUCCACAGCUCCAUAAGCUUUGCUGGCGGAGGUGGGAUUUAUGACCUAUACUGCAGCCCAUCAACAGAGGGUGCUGUUCUCGGAGUGGCUUCACCCAGCGAGGAGGCAGACACUGUCCAUUCUUUAUACAGUCUAUGGGCCAAACACUUUUGUAUUUUGUAUUAGCAACAUGUUUAUUUGUCAUUUUGUCACAUACACAUGCGUCUGAUUAUAGCUAGCUGAAAUAACGCUAGCUGUUUUACCUGUAACUGUGUAACUUUCCAACAUAUAAUGUCCUCACUCUCAAGGUAACCUAAACCUAAUCAAAUCAAAUCUAUGUACAAUUAUAUUUCACAACUGUCAUCAAAUAAUUUAAAGAUAAUGUCAGAACAAUUGAAAAACCAUACUUACAUGUAUUAGACGGUCUUUUCAUGCUAAAUGCUACAGUCACUGUAUGUGGGUCGUUUCUGACCCAUGUAUGUAAACUGUAAAAAACUGUGCUUCCUCAUAACGUAAGAAAGGAAAAAUAAAAAUUAUUAUUUGUGCUCAACUAAAACAAUAUCUUUAUUGCAUACUUGGAAUACUAAAUGAUAAAAUUAAUUUAUUUCAAAGAUAUACCAUAGAAACACUCAGCCAUACAUGAAAUAACAUUGAAAAUGGAUACGGGUCAUUUUAGACCCAUGUUGUGCAUUAGAGGGGUAGUGAUACAAAAACGGUUUUUCUUCUAAAAGUAAAAAAAGAAAAAUUAACAAAAGGAUGUAGGGUCGUCAAAAACAAGUUAAUUGAGGAAUUCCUUGAGUACCGACUGAUGGAAUUAAUUUUUUGAAAAGAUAUAUAAAAUUUAAACUCAGCCGGGUCUUUUUUGACACAUGUUGCGCAUCAAAGGGUUAAGAUAAAAACACAACCUUUUAACACAUCCUUUGAACUAUUUUGCAGCCAUUACAGCCAAUCGUACUGUUGCUCUCUGAAAUAUCUGCUGUAAAAAUGCUGUAGCUUUGUCUAUUAGGUCAUUCAGAUCCCAGAUUGUAUGUUAAUGGGACCCUCAGAUCAUACGCUUUAAACACACUGUGUUUGCAAACCUCAUAUAUACAAAAAUGUCAAUCCCUCAAUGGGAAAAAAUAAAUAUCUGAAGCCACAAUAGCCUGAAACAUCGGCUUUAUUUGCAUGUAUUCAAAAUCAUUUGGAAAAAUCCUGUUUGCAUGUGUCUUAAAUCAAUGAAAGGCUCUUACAGACUGUGCUAUCCCCCCCUCUGUGUAAACUCCCUGGACUCUGCCCCCUCCUCCCCCCCCUCACAGUGCGAGGAAUCCCAGUGAACAUGGCGGAUUUCACACAGCGUAUUAGCGGCGAGUCUUAGAGAGUGAGAUUAUUUAUACAGAGGACACUGACAGGAGGACUGGGAGAGGAAGAGAAAGGGAUGACAUCCACUAAAGAUCAUGAAUCACAUCCUGAUCUCUAACAGGAUUAUACGGUCUGACUGCGGCUUUCAGAGCCAGCAGAGCGAAGCAGCAAUGAUGACACUGAAGCUUAUGAUGUUAGAGUCGAGCAAACUGAUGCGGGGUCACUCUGCAGCCAUCAGGGAUGAGACAAAGUCAAUGCUGAUCAGAGAAAUUGUUGUAAGCGGUGUUGUUUUUCAUAAUUUUCUGUACUGACUCUUCAGAACUGUGUGAGUAGGAAAUCAAAAAGACACACAACUUAUUUUAGGAGUUCAUGCACAUGGUAAAAGCAGCAGGAUGCACAGACACCUGUAAAACAAAAGGACAUUUGUCUUCUAAAAUGCACAUUGCAAAAUUUACCAUCCAGGUGUCAUUUAAAUCACUGUUCAUUUGGAUAAAGUCUACAACAAUUCUAACUUCUUUUUGCUCAACUUAUGCAGACAUGAGAGAAGGUUAUACGCCGAUUGUUCUACGCCCAUCUAAACCUUAACGUAUUGUGUGUUCUGAUCCUGGACUUUCAAACUAGUUAGUUCAUUAUUAGGAUUUCAUUAUGUUAUUUCAGAAGACCUGGAAUGUCAUUUAGAAUCAUGUAGCAUCCCCACAAUGCUAUCAUAUAUACCUGUAUGUAAACAAGCAGAGCUGGUAUCAUGUAGUAGUGAUGGGAAUUACAGCUCUUUUUAGUGAGCCAGAUCAUUCGGCUCAGCUCACCAAGAAGCUCCAAAAUGGCUCUUCAUUUUACCACUUAUAGACUUUCCGAUUCAGCUAAAUUUAGCGUUGUUUGGCUCAUGAUGUGUAUUUGUGCACAUACCACUGAAAUAAUUCAAUACAUCCUUUGUACUGAAGUAUUCACAAGGAAAAAUUAUGUUUUCUAAUAUCAGUAAAUUGCUGUAGCCAAUUGUUUUCAUUGCAAUUACAGACCCUUGUAACUCUCUGAAACCACCUAAUGAAUGCACUUGACUUGAUGACUUGCUAGAACCACUCUGCUACACAAAGCAGAUAGAAGUCCCGUCAUUCUGCCUUGUAGUUAUUGUCUACUGGUCUGAGGGAAGAAAAGAGAGAGAAAAAAAGAGGAAAAAAAAACGGUCCAUAGACGGAAGCCGGCUCUUUGAACCAGUUCGUUCAUGACCGACACAGUCCAGUCUUCGAGGUCCACUGUCCUGCAUGUUUUGGAUGUUUCCCUGCUCCAACACACCUGAUUCAAAUGAUCAGCUCGUUAUUACAGAUCUUGAUAACGAGCUAAUCAUUUGAAUCAGGUGUGUUGGAGCAGGGAAACAUCCAAAACAUGCAGGACAGUGGGCCUCGAGGACUGGUCUUGAGAACCACUGAUGUAGCACAUCAUGGUUUGUCAGUGGGGAUAAAGUUGAACAUAGGGUGUGUCUGGUUAAACUGAUUUAUAACUACGUAACCAGAGCAAUGAGGGCUCAUGACAGGCCUGUGAAUGCUGGACUGAACCAGACUGAAUUUGAUUGGAUAAAAUAAGACUGGAUUGGACUCGAUGAAUAGUACUGGAUGAAUCUGACUAGAUUGGACUGGAUGGGACUUGAUAAAUGAAUUGGCCUGGACUGGACUGGGUCAGACUGAAGUACAUGGUGUUUGAUUGGACUGUAUUGAUUCAAACAGGGCUGGACUGGACUGGACUGAAUUUCAUUGAAUUUGGGUGAACUGGACUGCAUUGAAUUGGCCUUAGAGGAUUGGUUUGGACUGAAGUGGAUUGGACUGCAUUCGACUCGCCAGAUUGGACCAGGCUGGAUUGGUUUGGAUUGGACUUGAUUAGACUGGAGAAGUAUUUUGUAACCGAGGGAUACUGUGGUUUUCAACAAAGUCCAUUCCAGUGCCAUAUCAGUACACAGAUAAUGCUCAUAAUAAACAGACAUAAAUUCAUACAUAAGAUUUAAAUACAGACAUCCUGUUAAUGUCAUUAUAGUAGCUUUACAGUCAGUAAAACGACAGUACUUUGUAUUUGUGGAAUAGUCUAAAGUCAGAGGAUUUUGAGGGAGUGUUUCAUGUUCUUUUCCUUGAACUAACGUAAAAAAAAAAAAAAAAAAAAAAAGAAAAUCUCCUCACAGACUUCACAUCCAUCCAAAGUUUGUGUGUGUGUGUGUGUGUGUGUGUGUGUGUGUGUGUGUGUGUGUGUGUGUGUGUUUAUUGAAAUAGUAGAGAGCACUGCAUUUUGAAAAUGUUCCAUCUGGUUGUACACACAGUGAUAUCAAACAAGUGCAGCGUGAGAAAUGAACUGCAGUAUCAGUGAAGCAGAUAGAGGGGUGGAGGGACAGGAGGUGUGUGAGUGAUUGAGGAGGCAUUGAGAGGAGGCUGCAGUGUUUGUGCACAUACUCCUUCACCUCCUCAAACCGGCGUCUUAUCUACGGCUUGUUUGGAGUGGAAGUUUCAGGAAGUUUGGGGAGAAAAAGUGGGGCAGGUAGACUUACAAAGACCCGUCACUUUUCUUUAUAUAGUCCACAGCCGGUCCAGAAUAUAGAUCAGGUUGCGGCACAGUAUCUGCUCCUCUGUUCUGUCCUUCAGUGGCGAGGGGAAGGACAGGAAGACAACGGGGGAAGGGGGGAGUAUCUUUUCCGCGGUGGAGUCCUAGAAAACUUGGUCCAUCGAAAAAGAAAACAAAGUAGAACAUUUUUGAACGCAUUGAUUGGAGGAAGGAGAAACCUAAUCGCACUUGGCAAAGCACGAAAACAUGCCCUUCAAAUAUAAUGUUCGCCUCAUUUUCUGAACAGAACGUCCUCUUAUUAUAGCACAGGGAUAGAAACCAAGACAUCUUUGCUUGUUCUGAGGUCUUUUAUGCAAAGAGACACUUUAGAAAAUCUAUACUUUGUCCUCCUCAAACUGAACUUUCACUUUACUUAAGCUUUGGCAUGAAAAUAAUGAAUUCCCUUUCAUUUAAGUUGUCCGCGCUGAACCACAUUUCCAGGCUUGUACAGAAAUGAUCUUGGACCUGAUUGAUGAUUUCUGCAGAGGGAUUUGUUUCUUUAUGAUAUAAACAGAAAGGCUAAAGGUCAUUACACACCGGGGGCGAAUUAGCAAAGCGAAUAAUUUCCUUUUACUAAACCUCACAAUGUCAGUGCAAGCUUCCACACCAGCUACGAACUUCCGCAGAGCGGAAAAGAGACUUGCGAACAUUUGCUUUUAAUCUAUAGCCUUGCAUAAAUCUUACCUCAGACAUAUCAGCUCUCUAUAAUUCGUCCGCUCCCUCUGCAAACUUGGAGUCACCUGAUAAAGCAGUUCUUGAAAUUGUCUGAGGGACAUUCAGAAGUGUUGUUGGAAUUUCUUGGGAUACAAUUUGAGCUCCUAGAUUUUUGUGUAGCUCCCCCAUCUCCUGUCGCAAGAUCAGUAUUGGAUGUACCCAGACACUUUGGUUCUUCUUUUUCUUUUUGUUAUUUAAUAGGCUUACAACCACGAUCAGGUCAUCAUCGCUCGAGGAUGUAGUCGCCGUUGUUUCUCCUUCUUCUCUCGCCCUCUCUGUUCUCCCCCCGUGGCGUAUUUUUAUGUGAAUUUUAUUCGCGUCGCACCAGGUGUGUUUUGGAAAAAGCGUAAGUCGAAUAUUUCGCAUUUUCGUGUCGCUUUUUCGCAUUGCUCCGCUAAUUCGCCAGUGUGUUAUGACUUUAGAUCAGUGGUUCUCAAGUCCAGUCCUCGAGGCCCACUGUCCUGCAUGUUUUGGAUGCUUCCCUGCUCCAACACACCUGAUUCAAAUGAUCAGCUCGUUAGUAAGCCAUAACAGAGCUUGAUAACGAGCUGAUCAUUUGAAUCAGGUGUGUUGGAGCAGGGAAGCAUCCAAAACAUGCAGGACAGCGGGCCUCGAGGACUGGACUUGAGAACCACUGCCUUAAGAGUUAUUAACUGAGUAACCUGACAGCUGUCUUUGCCUGUUUCUAGAUAAGUAACCGGUCAGGUUGGGGUAGAACUUAGAUAUUUGUUUGCGUCUUCUGUUAAAACAUUUUGUAAACAUCUGUUUUUAAAGAUGCCUUAAAAAUACAGCUAUUAUCAUUCUUCUUCUUCUUCUUCUUCUUCUUCUUCUUCUUCUUCAUUAUUAUUAUUAUUAUUAUUAUUAUUAUUAUUAUUAUUAUUAUUAUUAUUUUUAUUAUUAUUAUUAUUAUUAUUAUUAUUAUCAUCAUAAUUAUUAUUACUAUUAUUAUUAUUAUUACUACUAUUAUUAUUAUUGUUGUUAAAUUAAAUAAAAUUAAAUUUUAUUUUAUUUUAUUUUAUUUUAUUUUUCAUGGUGACUGACUACCCUUUAAACCAAUGGAUAGCAUUACAGAGACUCAACAAUGUUUUAUACAGUGUGUGUGAAAAACUUUUUUUUUUUUUUGAGCUGAUGGUAAACUGUUGUCUGUCUCUAAUUUUAAUCUGUGUUCAUUUGGUUUUAUUCUCUGUUCUACCUUUAAAGCACUCUGUCUACUUCUUUAUACCAAUAAUGACUGUUUUCCUCUUCAUUUAUUGUCCUCAUUGUAAAACACUUUCAGCCUCGACAUUCAUCAUAAAUGCCUGAAAUUCCUCACUAUUAUUUGCCUUCAUGUCAAUCACAACAAUGUUUCCUGACUUUAAACACUUGUCAUAAAAGCAGCACCUGCGAAAUGGACUUUGAAUAUUUUGCCACUCACAAAAUGCAAAAUGACCCCUCCCCUAAACACCACAUAGGUUGUUAUGAACUCAAGGUCAGACUCUGUGAAUCAAAGAGAAAACACCCCUUUAGACAGAUUUUAUAGCUUUAAGAGUCUCAGCAGAGAGCUUUAUAGAUCAUGUGAAAUGUUGAGUAUGAGUGCAGAGAGUAUUGACCGCUGAGGGACAAUCUCACCCUACUCUGGUUAAAAGCUUCCAGUGCUUUACUUUGAGUAUAAUACUUCAAUUCUUGUGGUCAGACAGAAGUAAUACUCCGACUUUGCCCUUUAAUCUUUGCGAUUAUUAACCGCUGGAUGUUUUUGGAUGUUAAACACUUUAUUUUAGCUCCUCUCUCUCCAUGUCAGAAGGUCAGUUUUCUCUCGGACAGAGAUAAGGCAGCUUCCCCCGUCAGCGCUGCAGAGGUCUCUGAGCAUGCCCGAUAACGCCGCACCUGCGUUAUCUCUCAUGUUAAAACCCCUCGCCUUGUUAGCAUGCUAAAUGAUGGAUCGUCCUCUCGGAGUAGAAGGGGCUUUGGCUCCCCUGUGGCUCUGAAACCCUCGGCGCCCUGCAAGUCCGAUGAUAGAUUACCUCGCCUUUAUCUGCAGCAGCUGAUUAUUCCGCCUCUAUCAUGAAAGCUAAGUGCGAGCAGGGAUGUGAUCGCCUUGUAAUGUGGCCUGAAAUAGCUUGAUUAUGCUCAGGUUCAUUUUUAUCUGGCUGGAUUACACUCCGCGCAGUCUGUUUGUGCACACUUCAAGUUUGAAAGAUAGGGAUGACUGUCGCUUACAUUCUGCAGACGUUAUGCAUUAAAUCUAAUCAACAGUGAACAUGACAGGAAUUAAAUAUCCUCCUCAUAACUUCAUCAGUGAGAGUGACCUCUUUAAACCGUCCAUCACAGUGUUAUUAAGCCAACAAUCACUCACACAGUAAGAAACUAAUUACAGGACAUACUUUAAAAGGAAGGGAGGGGCUUCUUACAAGAUAGUCUAUUAUCACAGUCAUUAUUAAUAAUCACAGCUGGACUCUAUUAAAGCAUAAAACCAUAAUAAUUCAGUGUUAGGUCUGACCUUCAGCCAGGAGUGACAGCUCACAUAAUCUGAUGACACACUUGUCAUCUUUAAUCAUCAGUGUGUGUGGUGUAAAAAUGCUGCAUUAAACAUGCAGGUUAAAAUGAUCAGUCUGAUGAAAACAUGCAGGGUACCAACAUCCAAUCAGAGGCCCUGCGUUUCGAAAUAUGAUGAGAUGGGAGCCUCCCGUGUCUGAUGGACUCAGAUCUUUUUUGACUGUUACAGAUUUCUGUACAAUACUACUCAAAACUGUGAGAAAUAUGAUUUAUAGUCUGCAGAUUCUUGCAGCUUUGUAUAGUAAUUCAACACAGUUGGGUGACAAACAAAACAAAUAAAAAACAGAGUCAGACAACAUUUUUUCAAUUCGGUUUGAAUUUCACAAACAUGUUGCCAAACCAGUGAUAAAAUCCAACUCUGACAAAGCCGAAAGAAAAUUAAAGCUGCAAACAGCAUUCAGCCAGCUCUUAUAUCUUUGCACAAAAUAGGGAGUGUUACAGUCACAGCAGAGGACGCUGAGCACACACAGCUAUCAACAAGCAAACAACAUGGGAGUAUAUUGAAUAUUUUGCAUGCAUUUCAGUACUGGCUUGUUCCUGCAAGUUAUACUAAAUGGUAUAAAGGACUGAAUUUGGGAAAUCUGGAGCAGACUGAACAUUGUAUCUAAGAGUUGAUACUAGUACUUUACAGCAGGCUUCCUCAGUAGAUUAAGUCUGAGUCAGGAUUGCCAGCAUACAUGGAGACUCUAGAGCAGACUGAACACUGUAAAAGAGUUAUCAAAAGGGAUUCCCAUCACGAAGUACAAAUGGGACUCUCACUUAGCAUAUUGCCAAGCUUGGACCAGGACUGCCAUCAUACACGUUAAAUCUGGAGCAGAUUGAACAUUGCAAUUUUUUUGUUUUCCUGACACAAAUUUUUUGCAUCUUACCACAGCUAAACUUUUUGAUACCAGCUCAGGAUUUUAAUAGAUUUUCAUCCUAAUUGCAUGCCAAACAUAAUGACUAUGGUCACUUUCACACCUGACCAAGUGGACUCGGUUCGAUUGGGGAGCUGAAAGUCGCAACAUAGUUGCAUUUAUCACUUGUUUCGGUUCUGCUUUCAUACUGUGAAUUACACUAAAGUGCACCGAACUUUCCGAGCAGCAUUACGAGGCUUAAAGGGGCGCUUGUCGAUUGGACAAAUUGUGAAUUUAUGGAUUAUUGUUGUUCAGACAAUUGAGCGAAGCUAGCUAGCAACUGAACCAAACCAGGGUUCACUUGCAAGCGAACCAAGACCCACGUUUUCAGGCAGACCAGAGAUCGCUUGUUUGGUCCGCACCAGAGUUCGGAUGAGUUUUCACACUUGCCCAUACAAAGUGGACUAUUCGAGGAAACAAACUGUGGUCCGUUUAAAGCGGACCAAACAGCUCUGGUGUGAAAGCGGCCUAUGUUUGAUGAGGAUCUAAGGAAAAAGCUUUAAAGCAGUUCAAGUGCAGACAAUAAUCUUUCAAAGACAUCAGAAUAACUGAUUACCUGUCAGGCUUUAGAAAGAGGUGCAAAUGUUUGUAGGUCUUGGCGUAGUGGGUUCACCUGCCAAAUUGCACUUAUGUACUUUUUGUUUUGGUUUUGGUCACUGGUUUGAAGAGGUUUUAUAAACUGUGAUGAAUAUUCAUACUAAAUUGCUUACAUUUAGGUGAAAGUAUCACAAUGCAGACACCCUUAUUAAAAGUUUUGGGAGCCUGUUUUCUCUACACAGACUGUGUUGCUCCUGCGCCAGACAAAACCAUCUUUAUGUAUCAGUGAUAUUAAGGAAGCCUUUAGAUGUAAACAGCAUUCAAAGGUUGUUAAGGGGCAAGAAAGCACAUUACAAUUCUGGGGAGAAAUAAAAAGAAAUAAAUAAAGUUCUCAUUUCUGUAUCAAAACUGCACUGUUGUGAUAAAACAAGGCUGUUUUUCAGGGUUUCUGCAGAGCUGACAGCUGGAGUUUGAAGAUUUUCUCCUUUCAGCAAUGAUGUAUGAGUGUAAUAAAGCUCUGAGAUAUGCAGAGAGGUGAAAUACAAAAUAUUUAUCCAUGAAAUCUAGAAAAACAAAAGUAGAUAUAUAUAUAUAUUUUUUACAUAUACUCAGGUAAAUGAGCUGAGUCUCGCCCUGCUUUCUUUUCUGCUUUGUAGUGUCAGGUUUUAGCAGGAAGAGCUGACAUCUUUACUCUCCUUAUGCCCGGAGGGGAUUUCACCAAAGACUGUGUAAGAGGAGGAACACUCUGAGAUAAAAGUCUGCUUCUCUUAGAGUGACUCUGUUCAUAAAUCAGACCUGGUAGAUGAAUGCAAACUCCAAAUCACUGAUGGCAGAAAAUACAAGAAACAGAUCUGCCGUCAUUUAGCAUCACAGAGUGAGAGCCGAUGAUUUAGUUUGAUGAUUACACGGAUACAAAGGCGGGGAACAGACAAUGAGGUUUGUAGUUUCAUUAACAAAGUUACAGCUGCAUCCUGGCAGUAGACUACAGACUGUAGAGAGAGUGAUUUAGCCUUCAUUAGUACAAAUGUGCUCAAUCUGCAGUGGUGAAAUCUGGUUUGAUUUGGAGGAACACUAAACCUGACACUCUAUUACAGUGACCAACAGGAGCCCAAAUGAGAUCCUACCGGAGAAACAGGCUCAAACUUUAAACUUUGUUCAGUUUGUUUAUCUGUCUGAUGGAUUAACGGCAGAAAACUCUAUUAUUUUGUGAAAAUUAAAAAAAACAAAAACAACAACACACAGUUGAAUGGUCUUUUAUUCAAAAUAAACACACGUUAUUUUAGCCUCCAGCUCCCAGAGACACAGGUGAAAAAACAGAUAACAUGUUGUGCACAUUAUUCCACAAGACAUGCAAUCAUACACACUUUAAUAAAACACACACACACACACACACACACACAUGCAGGAGCAUAAGAAAACACCUAUGUGAAUUGUGUGUGUGUCUGGUAGAGAUAAACUCAGGUACGGCUGCAGAAAAUGACUCUGUUAUUGAGCUGUGAAUGGAGGCCUGUGGGGGGUGAUGACAGCUCUUCUUCCUCUGCGUCUUCAUCUCCACGUUGUAUUAACACGACUUUACAUGGAGCUCAUGUUCGCCGCUGACACAACCAGCUGUGUGUGUGUGUGUGUGUGUCUGCCGAGGCUGCGUUUGUGUGCGUGCAAUAGAAAUACAUGUCUCUGAAAUCAGCUGCAAUGAAAACAAGCUGGGAGAAAAUCUAUAGAAUUAUUCAUGGAGACUUUUUUUUUUUUUUUAUCGUGCAGAAAGGUGACAGCAGGGGGCCACACACACACACACACACACACACAUAUACACACUGUUAUACACACUAACACACCUGGGCCCUGUGGUACAUUUGUGAGAUGAGAAAAUAAAGCGAAUCAAUAUCCCCUCUGUUGAUGCCGUGUGGCAGAGAUUGAUACUCUGCUGCUGCGCAUGAAAUAUGCAUGCAGCUCUGAAUCUAAAAAUAUUGUUUUAGUUAAACCCACCCGUUCGGCUGCAGAAAACUUCUAGAUUGAGUUACAGGCAGAUAAAUAUAUACUGUAUAAAUAUAUACACAGGAGCCUGCAGCAUGUAUCGACAAAGACAAUGUUCGAUUGUCUCGUGAUUAGCUCACACAGACAAGAUGGAAACUCCCGGGAUAUCAUGAAAUGCUGAACCCAGAUGAGUUUCUCUGAGAGAGUGCACACAGUUCCAGACCCUGCUGUGCGUGGAUGCAAAUGCAUGUCAAUACCAACACUUUAGGACUAAUGUAGUGGAGCAGGGAUGUUGUUUCCACGGGGAGUAUGAACAAUGGAUGGGUUUCUGUACUGCCAUUUGCUGCUCAUAAACUUCCAUGGUAGAUUUUAACUCUGAUCAAAUCAAUUCAUGGAGCUUUAUCAGCGAAAACCGAACAAUGACAAUGUGACUAAAGCAUUUACACAAAUUAAAUAGGAAUAACAAUAGUCAAAUUAAGAAGAGCAUAAAAAAUACCAAAAUAAGUUAAUGAGUUAAGUACAUUAGUUAGUUAGUUAGUUAGUUAGUUUCUACAAGCAAAAACAGCAGCACCACAUAAUUGUUUUUUGUGUUACUCACAUAUAUGUACAUUUCUGGCUGGUGACAAAAGUCGGACAGAUAGUCUGAGUAGAUAUUUUAACCCAAAGUCCAGAGUGGUAUUGUCUAUGCAAAAAUGCAUUGAAGAAGUAGCACCAGCGUAGUGGAAUGAAAUUCACUUUCUAGGCGAAAGUUUCUUUCGCGCAGUUUCAGAUGCCGUGGACGUGGAUGCAUCGGCGAUGCUGCCUGAAGGGUUCAACUGACCUGCGGCUGCAUCACGUUCUUGUUUCUCAAACGCCUUUUGCAAAUAUAUUGCUGGUACCAUGUCGUGAAACCCAGCGUCAUCAGGAACAUUGUCAAAGUCGAUAUCAACGCAAUGUUAAUAAGUUUCUGCAAGGUCUUUUGUCUCUUUCUGUAGAGAAAGCCACUUUCUAAUACUAGUUCUGUAAGUUUCCCAACGUGUCCUUGUAAAGUCGAGAAUGUCUUCACGCUGGACAGAUGAUAGAUGCAUAUAACAUUGUUUCGUUCCUUUUUGAUGCACUUUUGAAGGCUGUUUUCUUUUCCUCCUGUUCUUUUCUUCCUCUUCGCUUGUCUCGCUGCUAGAUGCGCUCGUCGCCAUAUUUGUGUAUUUCUGAUACUAUGGCAACGAGACUCGGCUCCUAUUGGUCCACGUGACAAAAAUUGCGUUACCCCUCAGCAUAUUCGAUUGCGCGUGUGCAAGUAUCACUACGCCGCAGAAAGGAAAGAGUUCGACACCGAAACACUGAUUACUAAAAAUCGACGGGAUGGCAUGAGUAGAAAUUUUUUUUUUUAGUACUUACUACGAAUAGAGCUAUUUUAUGAAUCACAGUUUAUGUUGCCCCACUAAAGUGGAACGAACUAACACGAUCUCACUCAGCCGAUACAGCCUAUCAAUGCUUCAAGAGGCUUCAUGUUCAAGUUUUUUCUCGAAAUUUUCCACCUUUUUCGAAAUUUUCGACUUUUUUCUUGAAAUUUUUUACUUUUUUUCUCGAAAAUUAAGGGAAAAAAAUCUCUUCAAGUGGCCCUAGUACGCUUCUGUAAUCAUGUUUUUUUUAUCGCAUAUUUAGAUGAUUUUAAUAGUUUUUCUGCUUUCACUUUACCUGCCCAGUAAUGAUGGGAAGAACAUUUCUUUUGCCUGUACUGAAUUUUUAGAAUCCGUUCAUUAAAACGAUUCAUGCAAAAGAUUCGUUCACUGAAUAAGUUAGUGCUACACCAGUGAGUGACACAGCAGCGAGUUCGUUCAAUGAAUGAGCCCCUCCCCUCCCCUUCUCCGAGUAUGAGCUUAAACAGUAUGUCAUAUAUGGAGCUAUAAGAGCUUGAUGAAGAGUCUAUGAUGGAUUUCCAACUAAGUUUAUGAUCAAUUUUCACACCCAGAAGUUUAUUUUUCAUCCACUUUUUGUCUGUCAACAUCAUUCACCCUGAGUUUAACUUGUGUUUUAAUUAUUUAAUCUUCAGCUCAUCUCAAGCUGACCUUCUGAGAACUUUCAGAGCAAACCGCCAAUUCGCACAAAACAUCAUUUAUAAUUCAUGGCAGCGUGAAUAAUAAUACGUCAGAGAAAUGAAUUGCGUUCAUCGCAAUUUGCAGUUGAAAUAUAAUCCCAGCAAACUGUGUCAGAUCUAAGAGGACAUACCUCACCCACAGAUUAUUUUCUACACACACAUGCAUGUUUCUCUUUGACCAGCAGCUGCAUGUUGAACUGUCAACAGGAAGAAGAUGAAUGCAAUCAUGAACGUAAGCCGAUAAUAAAAGAGACGGACAACAGUAGAUGCAGAUUUGAAGUCAGAUCGGCUAAGAAGAAUUCAGCUCUACUUACAGUAUGACUCUAAAUCAGGCUCUAAAUUAUGAUUUAAAUCUCAUUUUUUCCUAACAGUGUUUAAACACAUAUUUCCAGCACCUUCCCUCCCUUCUGUAAAUGCACCUGUAGAUCCAGCCCUGCUGUGCUCUGAGAUAAAGUCUGAUUUAAUCUGCAGGAAGCCUCACAGAAAUACUUUAGAAAGAUAAACCUGACCUGUUUGAUAGCAUCAGUCUGCUAAAUGAGGAGAGGAUGAUAAAACUGAUGGAGGCAGCCAGUGAAGAACUCCAACCCCUCCAGCUUUUUAUCUUUACAUUUAAACCUGGUGUCGAGCUCCCUAUCAAGCACAAAAUGUCCAAUGAUUUAAGAUUCCCAUGUUAAAAAACACUGAAAGUGGAAAAAUGAGAGGUUAAAUAAUGUUGUCAUUUACUUUUUUUAGCCUCAGUGGGAAAUUUUCUGAGGACCCUGUGGUAUAAAACUCUGAGCCAAAAACAACCUCAGAAUCCAUAACCUGCAGGGAUUUGAAGGUGAGGCAGAGUGUGGACUAGAGGUGAAAAAAAAGGCUGGAUUCUAGGAAUGAGCAAGCUUCAUAAUCAAAUAAAAUACCCUACUUUAACCAAUAACUGCAAUUUAACUCUAAGGUUAGUUCAGCUUCAGUUCUGGAUUUUCUUGACUAUUUUUUAAACCUGCUCCAUGUCUAAUUUUAAAAAUAAAUGCUGUGUUGCUACGUAUCUAAGACAAAGGGUCCAAUACUUUGGGCUCUAUUUUCGUGCCUCGCCGGCAGCGUGGCGUAGGCGCGGCGUAAGUCAGGUACACCGCACCGACAAGGUGUGCCCAAGCACAUUUUGGUGAGCGGCGCAGCCCGGCGUAAGCAUCCCCUCUCCCUAACUCAGCUCCUCCAAGCAGUGUAAGUCAUAGAGAGGGGGAGGAUAAGGCGCGGAGUGGGUUUAACACAGCCGAGACCUGUUUUCGCCAAUCAUAUCAGCUCCUCUCCUCAUCUUUAAAUCCGCCACCAGCGAGGCGUAUUACAAUUUUCGUGAAGUAGUCAAAGAGAUCAAGAGAUGUCUGAAGACAGCAAUGCCACACAAUGGCGACAGAAGGCAGCUCCUUAACAAGUGUCACUGUAAGCGCUGCAGAGGGCAUCCUCCACACUCUCCCAUAUGAGCACAGAUGGAUUUGGUGUGUGUAAUGUUGGACCCACUGGUAAGACAAACACCCUUUUCCACAAAUAAAGACACUCACAUAAAGUUGCAUAUAUUUAAACCUCACGUGACAAAGGUGGGUUGUGUGCACAGAUCAUAACAUAAAUUCCAAUAAUGGCAUUAAAAUCGGAAUCAUCUGUACGUAAAUGAUGCCUGGCUCUUUUUUUUUCCAUAGAUGUUGGCAGAUAAAAUAAAUUUGGCUUACAAAACUGAAUAUUAUAAUAUUCAUAUGUAGGCUUAAAGUAAAUAACUGAGAUACAGUAGCUUCAGUUCAGUUGGAGAAAAUCACUGUUUGCAUGCAGUGAAGUCGGCGUUCCCAAUGCCUAGUGGCGAUGGUCCUUGGCGAUAGACUGGUUGUGGGAUUCAUUCCUGAACCCAGACAAAGAAGAACCUGGAGGAAAAGCUUUCUCUUUACCAGUCAAUCCAGUCCUCACUUAUGGUCAAGAUCUUUGGGUUUUAACCAUGGAAUAAGAUGAUGGAUACCAGUGGCCUAAAAGAGUAUUCUAUGAGCUUUAGAGACAGUAAUAGGAGCUCAGACAUAAUAAUAAUAAUAAUAAUACAUUUUAUUUAUAAAGCGCUUUUCAAAAACACAAAGACGCUGUACAGAAUUAGGCAAUAAAAACACACAUCAAUAAGUAAUAAAAUUUACGGCAAUAUAAUAAAAACAUGUAGAAUCAGGUAAAAUCCAAAUAACAAUAAAACACACAUCAAUAAGUAAUAAAAUUUACGACAAUGUCAAUAAAAACAUGUAGAAUCAGGUAAAAUCCAAUGGGGGGGGGGGGCUAGGAAGGAUGAAAGGCAGUGUGGAAGAGGUGGGUUUUGAGAAGGGUUUUGAAUCUGGUGAGGUCAGUGCAGUUUCUGAGUUCGAGUGGGAGUGAGUUCCAGAGGGUGGGGGCGGCGGCUGAGAAGGCUCUGUCCCCCCAGGUUCGGUGCUUGGUCAGGGGAACUGUGAGGAGGUUGGCAUUGGCGGAGCGGAGGGUGCGGGAGGGGAUGUAGGGGUGGAGAAGAUCCUGUAGGUGGGGGGGGGGGCGAGGUUGUGGAGUGCUUUGUGGGUGAGGAGGAGGAUUUUGUAUUAAAUGUGGUGGGGUAUGGGGAGCCAGUGAAGGUUUUGGAGGACGGGGGUGAUGUGUUGAUGGGAGCGUGUGUGGGUGAGGAGGCGGGAGGCUGAGUUCUGGAUAAGCUGAAGUUUAUUGAGGAGAGUGGAGGUGGUGCCAUAAAAGAGACUGUUACAGUAAUCUAGACGAGAUGAAAUGAAUGCAUGUAUAAGGGUUUCAGCUGCAGGGUAGGAGAGGGAGGGGCGGAGGCGGGCAAUGUUUUUGAGGUGGAAGUAGGCUGUUUUAGUGAUUUGCUUUAUGUGGUGGGUGAAGGAGAGGUUGCUAUCGAAGAGAAUGCCAAGGUUGCGACAGUGGGAGGAGGGGGAGAGGAUGGAGUUGUCGAUGGAGAGAUGAAAGUUUGUGACUGUGGAGGUGAGGGACUUUGGGCCAAUGAUGAUGAGAUCUGUUUUGUCAUAAUUGAGCUUAAGAAGAUUGCUGUCCAUCCAGUGUUUGAUGUCAGAGAGACAGUUUGAGAGGGAGCGUUGGGUCUGGGGGCUGAUGGAGUUGGAAGAGAUAUAUAAUUGAAUGUCAUCAGCAUAGCAGUGGAAGUGGAGGUUGUGUUGACGGAGGAUGUGGCCAAGAGGGAGGAGGUAGCUGAUGAAGAGGAGGGGACCAAGCACCGAGCCCUGGGGGACACCUUGGGACACGGGGGCGGUUGUGGAGGAGCAGUUGUUAAUAUGGAUGAAGUGAUUCCGGUUUGUGAGGUAAGAGUGGAUCCAGUUAAGAGCGGUGUCUGUAAUAUUGAGGAGGGAGUGUAGGCGGGACAGAAGGAUGGCAUGGUUGAUGGUGUCGAAAGCAGCGUAGAGGUCGAGAAGGAUGAGGAUGGAGAGUUGGCCAGAGUCAGCAGAAAUGAGGAGGUCGUUUGUCACUUUGAUGAGGGCAGUUUCGGUGCUGUGGUGGGUGCGGAAUCCAGAUUGGAACUGUUCAUAUAGGUUGUUAUUGUUGAGGUGGGUUUUGAUUUGUGAUGUGAUGACACGUUCGAGGAUUUUUGACAGGAAAGGGAGGUUGGAGAUGGGCCGGAAGUUACUGAUGUCAUCGGGGUUGAGUCCAGGUUUUUUGAGGAUGGGGGUGACAGCAGCCAGUUUGAGUGAUGGGGGAACAGUGGUGGAGUUGAGGGAGGAGUUGAUGAUCUGUGUUAUGAUGGGGGAGAUGACGGGGAGGCAGUGCUUGAUGAGGGAGGAUGGGAUGGGAUCCAGGAUACAGGUGGAUGAAGACAUGGAGCAGAUGAUAUUAGUCACGUCAGUUGAGGAGACAGGUGAGAAGCAGGAGAGUGUUGAUGGGAUGGGUGGGAUGGGAUGAGGGGAGGAGGGGAGGAGCAGGGAAUGGAGGGUGGGGGAAGGGAGUUAUAGAUUGCGUUGAUUUUGUUUUGAAAAGAGGAGAGGAAUGUGUUGCAUUUUUCCGGGGUGAAGGUGAUGGAGGUACUGUCUAUGGGGUGGAGCAGUUUUUUGACGGUGGAGAAAAGAGCCUUUUGGUUACUGGAGCCGGAGUUGAUGAGGUUGGAGUAAUAGGAUGAGCGGGCGGAUUUGAGGGCUGUUCUGUAUAGGUGGAGGUGGUCGGUGUAGGCUUGGAGAUGGACAGUGAGGCCGGUUUUGCGGUAUAGACGUUCCAGUUGGCGUUUAUGGGAUUUCAUUUUGUGUAGUUCUGAAGUAUAUCAGGGGGCAAAGUGUCUGAAUGAAACUGUUUUUGUUUUGAGAGGUGCGAGUUGGUCCAGGCAGGAGGAUAGAGUGUUGUUGUAGUAGCUGAGUAGGUCAGGAAGUUUAGCAGAUGGUGAGGGAGGGAAUGCAGUGAGGGUGGCAGAUAGGGAAGCGGAGAGGUCCUGUGGUGAGAUGGAUUUGAGGUUUCUGAAGGUAAUUUGUCGUUUUUCACUGUGAGGCAGAGGGGGGGGGGUCGACGUUGAAAGUGACAGCCAGGUGAUCAGAUAUAUAGAGGUUGGUGGUGGAGAGAUGGCAUCCAGACAUCCAGAGAGAGCUAAGAGUUGGGCCACAUCAAGGGGAGUUUGUUUAGGUGGUUUAGACAUUUGAUCAGGAGCCUCCUAAACACCUCCCUUUGGAAGUUUUCCAGGUACCUGGGAAGUCUUAUAUAUCCUACCUGGCCUGGAAACAGUUUAGGAUCCACCUGGAAGAGCUGGACAAUGUCGAGGAAAUAGAUGCGCAAAUUUCACUCAAGUUAAAAGUGAGGUACAUUUGUCAAUAUCUUUUGUUUCAGGAAAACCAAUUUACAUCAUGGCCACAGUCUCUAAUUCAAAUAACAGUUUUGACCUUGCAUUCAGCAUCAAGUUAAAAAUGUGUUGCCUGCAAAUUUCCCUGAUGCUGUACUGAGCGGACUACUUCUCUGACCUCAGAAUGAAUGAAUGAAUGUUUGUGGCACAACACUUGAAACUAUUUCAUUUGUCUUUAAAUUUUCCCUUCAGCAUAUUAAUUUUUUAUUGUUGUUUAUCACAGCAAUCCUCAGUCAGCUCAGCCCAAAUGAUUAAACUCAAAUCAGAAAGGGAAUGAGGCUGAAUCAAUCUGCCCCUUCAAAAUAAAAGUAUUAUUCAGUGAGAGUUUGAAAAUAGAAACAGUUGAUUAGGAUCAUCGGUUGAAGGUCUCUCUGAUUAUUACACCUUUCUGUUUAACAAUUCUCUCCAAUGUCCUCCUGAUUGGUGUAAAUGAGAAUAAACUGCAACAGUCCUUCAGUUAUAAAUCAUUUUAUUGAAGAAAUUACGGGAUGUCCAUUUUUCUAUCUGGUUUCCUCUCUGCAUAGUUUGGUUUUAACCUUAUUUGUGGAUGCAAAAUUCUUCCGAUGUCAUGGCAUCAAAUCUAAAAUGUUGUCUUUGCACUAUCAGGAUUUGCAAACCAUCAAACCUUGUCCUUGCAAAAACAUUUAAAGGAUCCCUUGACAGUUGAAGAGGAGCCAGAGGGGAUCAUAUUCGGCAGAACAAUUAUCUCUCGAAAUAUAUGACUCAAUUUUAAGAAAUUAAUUCAAUACUUGGUAUGAAUUCCCUCAUGCCGCUUUCAUCAAAACAAUCCGUACGCUGAAAUAUUUUCCUGUGGUGCAUUUUAAGACCUGCUCUUAAAAUAAACUCAAAUUAUGGUCAUAAUUGAAGAUUAAUUAUAAUCCUCUUCAGGCCAGUGUGCUGACGUUACUCUCACUUUUUUUUUUUAAAUAGGAAUAAAUCGAUUCAUGGGAACAAUAAGCAGAUCCAAUUGAAGUUAAUUGUCCUGAGUAAAUGAGGUUCAUUAGUGAGUGGAGAGCACAGUGAUUGUGCAGAAGCUUAUUUCUGUCAGAGUCACGCAUCCUUCAGUUUGAUUGAAGCAAACACUGAGGGGCCAUUUCACAAUAAUGAUCAGUCUGAUUGUUUUCAGGCUGCAGUAAUGAAAUAUUUGUGACAUUUAAAUCUGUGUCAGCCCUGAUUCAUUAGCCAGGAUUGUUGCCAGGAGACGCAGAUUGCAGAGUAGCAGACUGACCUUUGACCAGCAGAACUUGAUCAGGCAGCGAGCGAACAGAGAAGGGCGGGGGCGGAGUGAUGGCGAGCUGAUGUUAUUGGCUCCUGACUCAUCUGAGGAAACAGUGAGUAAAGCGAGGCGAGAAACGGCCUUGAAAUUUCCUGGUGACAUUUGGAUUUCUGCACUGAUAAGUCGACAUUAUUCUACGUUUUUUUUUAGAGGUGUCACAAAAGGCCGAUGGAAAACUCGCUGACGACCGGGAGGCAGGAAGGUGACAAGAAUACUGCGAACAUGAAAACUUUAUUUGAGUCAUAAAAAUCUCUGAAUCACAGACUGCAGCCUGUAUGAAGGACACAGAGGAGCCUGUCUGCAGCACUGUGACCACCCAGUACAGACACUGGGCUGAGAAGAUGACCAUAAACACGCCGAUGGUAUCCUGCAGAUGUGUAAAAGGGUACCCUUAGCAGAAAUUAAUACUUUGUUUUUUCACUGUAGGCUGAAAGGCGCUCUUGUACUUACAUUAAAAGCAUUAUCACAGGUGUCUUUAUAGUCUCUAGUGUCUGUUUUAGGGUACCCUUUAGCUUCUGUGGUAAUGUCCUUUGUUUAUGCUAACAACAAACACCUGUUCUAAGAACUCACUGAAAGUUGGUUUUGAGGUUUUCUUCGGUAGAUGAUUUGAGGUUUUUCUUUUCGAUUGUGUUUUAAAGUUCCUGUGAGGGUUUUUUGCGUUAUGACGCAUUUGGCGCCCCCUGUGGAUGAAGCAGUCUUUGCUCCUUUUCUCCUGUAAAUAUGGUGUCAUCUGAGAAAAGUCUCAUCCUGCUGACUUUUGACAGCCAGAUGUGGCACAGUUGUAUAUAUCUCAAACAGACAGUGUAGAAGCAGGGCUGUUUCUACCGCCUCACAGUGGUUUCAGGCAUUCAAAUUCACAACAUAAAAAUCCUUAAUCUUUUCAUUAGUGGGAGUGUUUAAUUUUACAUAUCAUGACAUGGCUUCAGUACAGAUUUUAGUCUAUUUUAUUAAUGGAAAAAAAACUGUGUCUGUUUUGGGGUUUCUUUUUGCUUCUGUAUCAGCUUUCACUUUUGCAAAUGUUUAGUUUAAAGUUUGCCUCACAAGUGUUUCUAGGUACCAAGUUUUGUUGAUGUAUUUUGGUUCUCUUUGCAUCUGUUGUAAGGUAUUCUACUGGUUGUUCUGAGCCUCUAUUUUGCAUCUGUUUUACCAUCAUGCUCGUGCUCUAGCCUGCACCGUACUGUUUUUGGGUUCCUUUUUGCAUCUUUUUAAACACAUCAUUUUAUGUCCAUGUCACCCUCUGUUGUCAUGAACCCUUUACAACACAAUGUGGCUUACUAGAGUAGAAGUCAGACUGAUGAUGUCUGCAGCCAUGAAUACUUUCAGAUUAUUUUGUUAUGUUUACUGCAGCUGGAAGAUUUCCAGCCUAUAGUUCCUUUUAAAUAGGCGGUGAAAGUAUCUGUAGGUUUACGCUCAGCUGGACAUGAGGUGAAAUAUUACAGAUUCAGAAAAAAUUAAAUCCUCAAUUCACAGAUUUUACGUUUUAACCAGGUAUCUGCCAUGUCACCUUUGUUAUACAGUGCAACGCAGUAUAGCUAACACCCUCUGGCAGCAUUCAGAGUACAUGUUUAUUCCAAAUACACUAGAAUUAUGCAGUUUGUCUGAGUGUGGGGUCCAGCUAUUAAUUUCCUUUUAGGCCACUGAGAUCUGAAUGUUGUUUAAAGAAGCAGCAGUGAAAAAUGAACCCUGUAUAUUAUCCAGGGAGCUUUUUAGUACAUUUUCUUCAUUUUAAUCUACAGGAGGUAUUAAUCUUAGGGGUUAUUAAAUUUAGAUAAAGAGGUCUGAAUAAGAGAGCAUCUCUCUGUUAUUAAAGAGGCCAAGUGUGUUUCUAAAAAGCCUCUGUAGAAAGUGUUUCAGCUAAAAACGAGAUACUGUCAUGACCGUGGAAGGGGUUAGUAAUUUCAAAAUAAAACAGAAAACACAUGACGUGCGAAAAAUAAAGAAAACUUAACCAACCAACCAUGACAGAUAUAAACACAGCAGAAUGUAAAUGUUAUAUGACAACUCAGGUGGUCCUGCAGAAAGGAGUGUUUUGGACAAAAAAGGGAGGAUGCAAUGUUAAAAAAAAAAAAGGUUAUUUUUAAUCAGGUUUUCUUUGUCAUUGGUAAUAGAUUCAUGCUGAGUCUUCACCAAACUUCAUCAGACAUCUAAAAUCCAUCAGAGCUGUAUCUUCAGACCCUCUAAAAGGCAUUGAGCUAAUUUCAGAAAGUGACAUUUUUCUACUCUAGUUUAGAGUCGCCUUUUGUUGUUUAUUUGUUUCCUUGAGCAGCACUCCACAUCCCUCUGUUCCUCACCUCAACUUUAUGUUAAACAGCACUUCAUUAUUUCUUUACACAAUAAAUAACAAUUUUUACAUCACAGAAUUGGGGUUUUUAUGCAACCGCACCCCCUCACACAAUGUGUUUACCUUGUUUUGGUAGUGUCUGUGUGUGUGUGACUGUGAGAGAAUGUUAAUACUACAGGGACCAGGUUUUGAUUGGUUAAUGGGCCAGGUCCGUAGAACCAAUUGGGGAGGAGAGCCAGAUUCAAUAGGCUGCUGACUGGGGGGAAGACACCAUUGUUGUCAACCUAGCGACUUUGUCACUAGAUUUAGCAACUUUUCAGACCCCUUAGCAAAGUUAUUUUCAACGUUUUCCCUUCCUGCGAUAUUGCGGUAUUUAUCUUUCGGAUCAUGGUCGAUUUUUCUAAAGUUUCGCAUAUUCUGUGUCCACUUCUGACCAAUCAGAUUGCAUGUUGUUGCAAUGUCUGAUUCACCGGUAAAUCCAACAUGGCUGACCAGCUGAUUGUGUACGUGUCGGAGAACAGAGUGCUUUUUGAUAAAAAAACACAAACAUUACAAAGAUAAUGACCUGAAGGAUAGUUUGUGUGCUUUAACAGUUUGCUAAACGUCUUUGUUUUAACUUUCAUCUGUGCUAAGUAACUUUAGCUCGUAAGCUAACCUGUUCAGAUACAACAUACCAUAUGUAUUUUCACUGUCUCAAACUCAAUCGUGUUGCUGUCACAGCACCAUUAGGUCUGGGUUGUUACCUUACGUUUAUGGAUUAUAGUUUAAUGUACUUAUCUGGUACUGGCCCUGACUCAGUACAUGCAAUCAUGACAGACAGACAUCUCAACACUAGCGUCUAAUCAGAAGUGAAAAACAGUCAGUCUGCUGUUGUGUCAGUCUUCUCGCUUCCACCCACGACGCGUCUUUUUUUCCCUCGGAAAGUCGCAAAAUCGCAUCGGGCUUGAUGUGUAUAGUCAGGUGCAUCAAAAUUCCCCUCCGAAUAUUUCAUAAUUUAACGUCAGAUAUUUGCGUUGGUCCUGGUGUGUAAGGACCUCUAUUGUUUUUCAAUGGGUAGCCGGUGUGCAUCAAAAGCAUGGACACAGACACAUACAUACACCCUGGCGGGAUCGCUUCUAUCGUCCUCUUGCAACUUCUAGUGACUUUUACGACAGCUACUAGCGACUUUAUUCAAUGAAGAGUUGGCAACACUGGUCAGAAAAUCUAUGUUGGCAUUUGUGUUUGGAGGCGAUCUAAUUGUAUAUCUUUUCUUGUGGAAUAUUAAGGGAUAGGGAGCUGCUUACCCCUUGUUUUGUUUUAACUGCUGUUUUGAGCUAAUUUCAGAAAAUGACAUUUUUCCACUCCAGUUCAGAGUCACCUUUUCUUGUGUUUAUUUGGCUGUUGUAACUGUUGUUUAGAAGUACAAGAGUUCACAGUGUCUGCACACAACUUUAAACACACAUACACAAUAAGAAGUGGUAUUUACUGCAUGGUAUGAACUCGCAGUAACAGCCAUUGUGACGCACCAGCUCCCACACACACGGUAUGAACACACACGUAGACACACACACACACACAGCGCCCCGGGCUGAUGGAGUGCUUGGGAGUAUCAGUUUAGUGUUUACUUGUGUUUUCUGGUCAGGGGUGAGAGGAUCAGAGACACCCUCAGGGGGGGUGAGGCGCUGCGUGAGUUAAUGUUUCACAUCCAGCAGAUUAAGAGCGAGCCGGCAGACGUCAGGUCCGAGCAGACGCCGGGGAGUGAAGGGUAAUGGAUCAGAGAAAUUACUUCACGCUCAGUUCGGGAAGGAGACACAUUCGACCACAAAAGCCUCUCAGAGAGCUUCAUUAGAGGGAGGCUGCUCCGCCAUCACUGUCUGCAGAGGCAUUAUGGGGGAGGCCUGGGUCCAUCCUGCGGCUGAUAAAAUCCAUCAACACACACUUUCACUUCUGUCUGCUUUACUGGAAACACUUUGUUCGUUCUCAGGCUGCAGGGGAUUAAAUCUGGAGACCAGUGAUGCACAGAAAUAAAGUUUGGAGGGAUUAAAGUUAAAGACUGAGAUCCUGCUGUAGGAGUUACAUUGAUUUACAAUAAAAGAACAUUAAAGCUUGGCGCAUAACUUAAAACAGGUGCAUAAGAUUUAAUUUGUCUGAUAGUUUGGAUGUGGGUCAUUUGAAAAUACUGGAGCCAAUUACAACACAACAAGCAAAGAUGUGAAUGUAGCCAUAGUAUAUGAAUGACAGAUGAUACUAUCACACAUUUCUAGUCUUCGCUAAUAAAAGGAGAAUAGUCCAAAAAUGAAAAAGAUGGUAAAAGUCAAAAUAAACCUCUAAAGAGCUGAGAAAUACUCUAUUCAUGUUUCAUAUUUUUAUAAAUGGUUUUAAUUUGCAGUUUUUGAUGAUAAAACCUUUUUGAUUUCUGUGCCUCUUUAAACCUUUUUUUUACUUGUUUAUCUUUCAGUUUAGCAACACAGCAGUACCUAAAGAUAUCACGAUGUUGAAGUUCAAGCAGAAAGAAGAAACUGAAUCAUUGUGAGCAAAACCAGCAUCAGGUCUCUCUCUCUCUCUCUUAGCUGAUUUAAUUUCAUUUGUAUAAACAACAUUUUUGUCACUUGGAAUCAGAGCUGGAGCUUGUCAACAGGCAAGGCAGGUAAUUGCUUGGGGCCUCAGGCCACUAGGGGUUCCGAGGGGUUGAUGAACCUUACUCCACAAAAAUAUCCUGAAAUAUUGCAACCUGGUUAAACAACUAAUGGUCAAAUUGCAAUGACAUCUUCAAUGGAUACCCCCCUAAAGGGACCCCAUGUAAUCCCUAUUGCAAUAUCAACUUUGGAGCAUAUAACAAACUGAAGUUAAGGUCCUUACACACCGGGACCGUUUUUGUCGUGCAAUUAUUUCAGAAAUCAAUAUUUUUUUUCAAACCCGUAUCCUGUCAAUACAAGUGUUCACAUCAGUGACGUUUUUACCGUUCUGCGAUAUUGCGGCAUUUAUUUUUUCGGAUCAUGGUCAAUUUUUCCAAAGUUUUACUGUGCGUCCACUUCUGACCAAUCAGAUUGCGUGUUUUGUCCGACGUGAGAUUCACCGGUAUAUCCAAGAUGGCCGACCACGACCAGCUGAUAAUUUAUGAUCGUUUACACAAACUUUACAACAAUAACGACCUGAUGGACAACUUGUGGGGAGUCAUAGCGUCAGAUUUCUGAUAUGGCGAUGUUUUGUGUGCUUUAACAGUUUGCUAAAUGUCUUUGUUUUAACUUUCCUCUGUGCUAACGUAAGCUAACAGUUGUUACCAUAGUUUAAUGUGCUUAUCUGGUACUGGCCCCGACUCAGUACAUGCUAUCAUGACAGACAGACAUCUCAACACUAGUGUCUAGUCCUCCGCCUCUUCAAACUUGGAGCUAAUUGUUUCAGCAGAACUUCAAAUUGUCCAACAGACAUCCAAAAAUAGGUUCUGAAGCGACCGUGGUACAGUUUAAGCUCCUGAACUAAACAGUGAAACUCACCAAGUUCUCUUCUUGUUUGUAAUAUUGGAUGCACCCAUGUGCUACGUUUAUUUUUCUUUUGAGAAAGCAGAAGUAGUACCAAUUCGCCAUCACUUGAAGUUGAAGUAGACUCAAUUUUUGUCUUCCCGUUUCCACCCAGGAUGCUGUAGGUUGUUAAGGGAAGGUCCCGCCCUCCUUCGCCUCUGAUUGGCUAUAAGUGCUGACCGUUUGGCUUGAGCGCAUGAUGAGGUUUCCAGCUUUUCUAGCCAAUCAGAGGCGAAGAAGGCGGGACUUUCCCCAGGAAAAGUCUUCCCCGGGAUGCAUCUUUUCCCCCCCAGAAAGACACAAAAUCGCAUCAGUAUGUAUUGUGGUACAAACAUAUCAGAGCUAUAUUUAGUGCAAAUUUUUCAAGUUACAUAGUUAAUGUUAUUGUUACGUUAGUUAUUGGUUCAAGCAGUCUGAGAUUUUGUGAGUUUUUUUGUGUGUCUCACAGUUAUUGUUUGAGUUCCAAACUUAUAUUUGAACCAACAGUAUCGAAGCAUAAAUAACGCAGCUCACUGAAUGAGGCAGCAGUCUCUAGUUUCUGUCGGCUUAAAUUCCUGUUUACAUCAAUGUAUUCUGGAAGAAGAGGCUGAACCUUAACUUUCAAGAAACAUUCCACACAUUUGACCCAGUUUACCUGCUGCAGGGUGAAUUUAUCUGCUGAGGCAUCUCCUCAACUUUGAAUGUCUGUUAAUCUUGAUCUUCAAAUAAGUGAAGCUUAAAUUAUUGAGUUUUUUGGUGCACUGUUAAGUAACUAGAACUAUAUAAGUGAAGCCCACAGAGGCUAAAUUUGAUUAUUUUGUGAGCAAGCAAAGAGAAGUCAGGUUGUAUUUAGCUUCUAAUUUCUGGUCACUGUCUCCCUGUGAGCCGUGUGUGACCGAGCUGAAGGGACUCCUCUUCCUUUCAAGAUCAAGAUAUCAAUCAUUCAGUGAUGUGAGAGCGCCACAGGCUGCAGACACUCUGAGGAUUCAGACGCUUCUUCUUUCAGGACAUCGGGUCAUUAGAGAGAGAAAGAGAGACAGAGCAUAGGGGGAGAGAGGGAGGUAGAAAAAAGCCACACUGAAAGAGGAGGGGAGUCUAUUGUCGAGGAUCUGACAAUGGACCCAAAAUACCAGCAUCACCCCGGGGCUCCACAUGAGCAGAAGAUCAGAAAGGCUCAAUAAAUACAGCAGAGAGGUUAGAGGAAGAUGUUCUGGUGGUCAAACUCAGUGUUAUAGUGAAAUCUCUAUGUUUGGUUUAAGAACAGUUUUCUCUACACUACCACAAAAGAGAACAGAGGGGAAAUUAACAAGUAAAGACUGUACAAAUCAGAGUUUUCUGUACUAACAAGGUACAAAGAUUUCUGUUUCCAUAUCACACUACAGAAGACUUCAGGAUUUAAGGUCGUUACACAACGAUGCAAAUAUAUGACGCAAAAUUACGAAAUAUUCGGAGGGGAAUUUUGACGCGCCUGACUAAACACAUCAAGCCCGAUGCGAUUUUGCGACUUUCUGGGGGGUGGAAGCAAGAAGACUGACACAACAGCAGACUGAGUGUUUUUCAGUUCUGAUUAGACUCUAGUGUUGAGAUGUCUGUCUGUCAUGAUAGCAUGUACUGAGUCAGGGCCGGUACCAGAUAAGCACAUUAAACUAUAAUCCAUAAACGUAAGGUAACAACUGAGACCUAAUGGUGCUGUGACAGCAACACGAUUGAGUUUGAGACAGUGAAAAUACAUAUGGUAUGUUGUAUCUGAACAGGUUAGCUUACAGGCUAAAGUUACUUAGCACAGAUUAAGGUUAAAA